UGUUGCUGCACCAGAAGUUCUUGUAAGACCGUACUGUAAAUGCUUGGGAUUGGGCGUUUGUAUGACUUAAGGAAGUUCAACUUUGUUUCUCCAACAGUAGGUGGGACAUCUGUACGACAUUAUGAAUGCAUUAGAAAGAUGCACCAAUAACUUUCUGUAUCUGUACUAUGCUAGUAAUGCAAACAGUAUGUUCUACAUCGAUCCAGGCAUCCGACUGUUUUUAAUCAAAACUUACUGAAUUUCGAUGUACCAUGAACUGUUAGCAAAUAGUUGAGGGUAGACAUCAAGAAAUUUUAGAACAAAGAGAAGCCACAAAACAACACGAGAACUUAUGGAAGGUGAUUAUUGUGUGAAAAAUGUUGAAGUUUUGCAGAGAGAAGCAUUUGGCAGUUCUUUUUCAUCUGCCCCAAAACUUCUAAUGGGAAUAGCAUGUUCCUGUACGCUAGCUCACCUCUUAAGCAUCAAACCAAAUUAUGUUCCUUCAAAAAAUGAAUUAUAUGCGAAGAGAGUGAUACCAGAAACCAAUUCACAAAGAAAAGUAUGAAUAGUAGCUCAUCUCCAAAAAUAUAUUGGGUUUGUUAUUUCAUAGAUCUUCUACACAUGAUAACAAAUACUAAAAAAAUAACAACUCACCAUUGUAUUUUACACAAUUGGGCUACUUUGGGUGACAUACACUCGUCCUGUUUACGUGGAAUGCAACACAUCAAAGUUCUGUGUACUGCAUUUUCUGAGCAGUAGCAGGUGAAGUGCAUUAAGAUUUUGAUUAAGCCUAGUUAACAAAAAAAAAACAUUUCAGCCUUUCAGGAGGUCACGUUCAAAGCUCAUUAUUCCCAUCCGCUGGAACAAAACUAUCGCAACAAUCAUCCAAACAAGCUAGAAUUUCUUGCCAACAAAAGCCAGUUUAUUGCAAAGACUACGACGGAAGAUUAUGAGGUGGCGCGAUUCGGCAGCAUAAGGUAUCACAGAUGGCGAGGCCGGGAUCGCACAUUGGUAGGCAGAUUUGGUAUGAGGAGUUCUGCGGUGAACCGCACGGCAUAGUGAUUCGGAUUCACUUGUUUGAGGUAGCGCUGAAGCUACACACUCGAUAGGAUAGAUAGAGGUAGCUCACCACUCGCCGUGGCGACGCAGCGCACCACCGAGCCCGAGCCCCGCCGAGACCUCGCGCUGAGCACGACGGCGCCGGAGACGGCCGGCGCCGUCGACGACGGCCUCCACUCGGCGGCUCCGCGCAGCGGCGCAAAGGGAAGCGACGAUAUGGACGCCAUGGGGAACUAUUUUGGACCUAGCGGCCGGUUGUUUUGCUGGACGCGGCGGCAGCUGGUCGGCGCCGCCGACGAGGGCAAUGUGGUAAAUGCAGAGGGGCGAGUGCGAGGAAAGGCUCUUGCAGUCUUGCUCGUCUUGGUAGCGGAAGGUUGGGAUCUUCCUUAUCUAGUAGGCCUACGCAGGUUUCUCGGCCACUAUUGCGUUGCCACGUGGCAUGCGGUUCUUUUGACCGGAGAUUUGAUUUUGUUUUGACAUUUUUCUUAGGUUCCUUUUUGUAAUUUUUAUGGGCACAAGAGGUUGGAUUUGCUUGCGGUUUUGAAAUGUUUGGCUUAUGUUCCUUUCUUAAAGGUGUGUACGCAACAAAGACAUGUGGUUGGCAAUAUUUUCUGAAUAGUUUGUUUUCUUUGUGUAUGUUGAAUAUGUCUAAAACGUGUUUGUUUAAAAUGGCCAUGAAUCAAGAUAAUCAUGAAGGGGGUCUAGGACAUGAAUGAUGGAGCAACAGGGACAUGGAAAUGUGCCUUUUCAAGCUAAUAGCUGAUUAGCUAUGAGUCAUGGAGCAACAAGAAUAUGUGGAUAUGUGUUCUCUACCUAUAAAUCCGUGUUGUGAAUAUGAUAAACCUCUUUGAGUAUAUCUGAUAUACUCUUUUCAUUGCAAAUUACAAGUUGUUUUUUUAAACACAUAGCUUGGAAUGGAGUGAGACAGUGAGUAAUACCUGAAAUAUCUAUAUAAAACAAUUCUUAAUUCGUACAUAUCACAAAUAUGAGCAGGGAUAGCAAAUAUGCUUCCUUGAACCUAAAAUAUUUAUAGAAAACAAUUAUUAUUUCGUACAUAGCACAAAUAUGAGCAGGGAUAGCAAAUAUGCUUCCUUGACUUGUAUCUCUCUAUGAACGUGAUUUGAAAGGUUUACAUAAAACAAAAAAUUUCUAUUUAUCCUUCAUACAUAAUAUUAUUCAGGACCUAGUAUUUGUUUGCCUAACCCAUGCAUGCCAGUCCAGCUCCUCCAGUUUCCCUUGUCUAAUCCCUGGUUCUCCCCUUCGGUCCGGCCCGCAUGCUGCUCAAAGCAGCUCUCAGCCAGGCCGCCCAGGAACAAAAUUGGAUUUCGUUUUUUCGGGACCAGGCUAACUAUGCGCUCGAACGAGAUGCGAGCCAACUGCUACGUCUUGCAGUACGGGACAUGGAUGCACAUGGCGUCCUAGCCCUAGGGAUGAAAACGGUUAGUAAGGAUCGGGAAAACUCUCUAACCAUUUUUAAAUCCAUUUUUAAUUCGAAAUCGGGAUUGGUAAAAGGAUCGUCGGUCGGGAAAACAGAAACGGGAGUAAUGGAAUGACGGUAAACGGUGCAGUCGACCAAGAACACAUCGAUGACCGUCGGGAACCGGUAAGUAAAAUGUAAAAUCGGAACAACGAUGUAAGCUUGCUCUUUGCUGACAAAUUACGAACAUGUGCUCUAUUAUCUUAGCUAGUUGUUUAAUAUAGCAUUCCUAUUUCAAGUUUUUAAGCACAUAACGUUAUUAGCAAGACUAUGCUAUGAAACUAGAACAUGCAGAUAUCUCACGAAGUCACAAUUCAGUUUUAAAGUAAGGACCAAUUUUUCAAAAUUCAGUUUAUACAUACCUCACGAUUCAGUGUUCAUGCGGAUAAUACUCGUACCACUUACACCCAUAACUGAUAGGGUCGACCACCUUUUUCUAUGGGCGGUCAACUCAACGACUACGGAGAAACUUUCAUCAGGUAUAAUCUAUACUACUCUAUUAAGACUUCAUCGUCAGCGUCCACACCCAACGCCCCCGCCUCUGCCUCCCUCCAACGCCCGCGCACAGGCACCAGACAUUGUGGAAUUCACCAGAGCCUACGUACAGGACAUGGUACGGUUCACGCAUGCUGCGUACGGAAGGUAGAGGGUCAUAACCGCCAUUUCACCUCCUUAGGCCUAGGAAGCCACUGCACGCAAAUAUUUCCUCUCUGUGAUAAUCCCUAAUUAUAAUUAUAUUAUUUUAUUAUAAUUAUAAUUAUAUAAUAAUAAUAAUAAUAUAAUCUCUACUACUCUGUAUGUUGAUACCGAGCGCGUCCACCGGCUUCACCACGGCUCCGCUCUCGCCCUCCCCCACAAAGCGCGUAUACGGAGUCUCCGCAAUCCCAGCCACGAGAAACCGCGUCCGCUUCUGCGCCCAUUCCCUGCUCUCUCCAUCCGCGAAUCGCGUCCGCUUCCUCCUGGUGCAAUCCUUUUCAUCCGCGUCCGCUUCUCUGCUCUCUCCUGGCGCAAUCCUCUCCGUCCGCGAAUCGCGUCCGCUUCCAUGCUCUCUCAUGGCACAUUAGAUCUAGAUCACGCAUGCCGUUUCCUGGGGCACCAACCAGAGCCCACCGGCUAUGGCGCUGCGUGGGAGAGGAGCAGGGCGGUUAAGCGGGCCAUGAGGAGGACGCAGACGAGGAGUACGAUGGCCUCGUCAUUCGCGCCAAGCGGACGAGGAUGGGCGGGGACGAGGAUAAGGUAUGGUACCAUCGAUCCAUUGCAGGGACAUUGCAAGCGGCUGGGUCCGGCGACGGAGACGAAGCCGAGGAAGAGAAGGCCUUCUUGAUGACGAGCGCCGCGGCCUUCCCCCACGGCAUGUCCAUCGCUGUCGCGGGCCGGUCGAUGGCUGUGGCCAAGAAAGAGGAGUUCAGCAAGUCGCCGUCCAACUCGUCGGCAAAAUUCUAAAAAAAUUACGAAAAAUCCCGAGACAAAAUUCCGGAAAAUACCGAGACAUAAAUCCGGUAAUUUCCGACAAAAACCGGUAACCGAAGGAAACAGCGGUAAAACAGCACGCCGAUUCCGAUAGAAAAUUCCGAAAACCGAUUCCGUUUUUGAAAAAUACCGUUACCGGUGAAUCCGAUCGAAAAAUUUCGAAAUCGAUUUCCGGAAUUCCGAAACCGUUUUCAUCCCUACUCACGCUGCACAUGGUGCGCAUGUGGCCCAGCCGAGAUCUGGUCAUUAGAUUCAAUAGUUGUGGUACUGGUAGCAUGUGGCCCAGCUGAGAUCUGACAGUUCUUAGAAAAAUUCAGCUUUCAUUUCCAAUCGUUACAGCUUUAAACUAUUAUGAUCGUUAGUUUUUCCUUGGCAUUAUUACUUGGAGAAACUAUUUAAAGCAUCCACUUUGCUUUUGAUAACCAUGAAUUUCUAGGUUCAUGCAAAAGCAUUUGAGUUUGCUAAGUUGCAUUCUAAGAACAUAUAUCAAUAACGAUUGGAAAUGAAAGCUGAAUUUUUUACCGGCGAGGGGCCACUGAGUUUGCAUCUGGUGGUGUGAGCUGCGCACCACCUCCUUCAGAAGCAGAUGUCUUGUAUAUGGAAGCGGCAGGAGAUGGAAGCACUAUAUAUGACACAUCUAUCGCUCUUGUUGAUUGCUGGGUCAGCGUGUGCCACUGCUGCACUUGGUGGGCCUAGGGAAUUCUAGGACUAUGGGCUGGUUUGGUGGACAGGAAAAUUUCCUGUCCACCAAACCAGCCUUAAGAUUUGUUCUGUCUGGAUAGCACAAAAAUUGUUCAUCUCGCUUGCACCCAUAACACUGCCCUGAACAGAAGAUGCAUGAUUACCUGCAUGCAUUGAACGACAUACCAGAUAAGUGCCACCAGUACCACAAACUUACAUCUUGUAGACACCUUACUAUAUAAUUUAUGUUGUCACAACACACGGGUAUUAUACUCACUUCUUAGAGUUGUUUUUUAUAUUUGUAUUGUAGUAUAAUUUGAUUUAUAUUAGUUUAGUUCUGUAUUGGUUAUUUCUAAUAAAUCGUUAGAUUAUAUCGAUAAUAUAUGUUGUAUUCGUUUUUACGUAAUCAUUGUGCACUCACAUUUUGUUGAAUAUAUUAUAUACCGUUGCAACGCACGGGCACCCAACUAGUACUACACCUUAAGGCUGGAGCGAGGGCGUCCACCACCCUCACCAUGCCCCCGCUCCAGCCCCCGCCCGCACCGUCUUCCUCCCUGCAAUCCCGCCCCCGCCCGCGCCAUCCCUUCCCUGCAAUCCCGCUCCCGCCAGCGCCGUGUCCCCUCCCCCAUCUCCCGAAGCCGUCCGCGACCGCUGCCCUGCUUCCCUCGCCCCGCGCCGAAGCCGUCCGCGACCGCUGCCCUGCGCCGUGUCCGCCGUGACAGGGAUCCGGGAUUCGAGGCCUCCCCCCCGACGAUGCCCGGAUCCACGAUCGCCGCAGUCCAACACUGUCCUCCGUCCGUGACCGCUCCAUGGUGGCACAGGCGCUAGAGGCAUCUGGGGACACCGUGACCCCACCCUCGUUCGACAUCGGCACCACUCCCCCAGACCACUGCCGGAUUCCAUCGUAGGAGCUCCUCGCUGGGGGGGGGGGGGGGGGGGGGGGGCGGGGGGGGGGGGGGGGGGGGGGGGGUUCGACACGACUGGCGGCCGAACAGAUUGAACGGAGAUACAUGCAGCCGGAGCGCCAUUGAGUUGGGAAGGUUUACCUCGGAACGAUCGGCUGGAGCGAUGCGGUGCGGAGGUCGCCGGCGUCGCGGCCGGGGUACUGUGGCGGUGCGAAGUGGGGAGCUCGCUUUGGGGGACCCCGUGACCCCGCCCUUGUUCGACAUCGGCACCCCCUUCCCCAGACCACUGUCGGAUUCCAUCGUAGGAGCUCCUCGCUCGUGCCCGCUUCUUCACCGGCGAUUCAGGGAGGCCAUGCCCCCUUCGUCGUGUCCUGCCUUUUGGCCGCCGAGCCACCCCCUCGUCGCCUCUUCGACCCGGUCGCGUCUCGCCUCAGCUGAUGGAUGGGUGGGACGGCGAGGCCAUGGUGUACGCUCACCACGUGCAAGAGCUGGUGCUGCAAUUAGCUCCUUGACAGUUCCGCCCACACCUGCGUGUGCUCCGCCUCGCCGCAUCCUGCCGCUCUACACCGACAUCGACACCAACAAGGCAUGUGGCCUCGGCCUCGGCGACCGCAUCGGCAGUGUACCGAGGCACCUCCCAUUGGUGUCGCGGUGGAGGGAGUGAACAACACAGGUGUAGGUUUGUUGCGAAUCUCAUUCCCUUUCUUUGAAUCCUGCUCCACCAGACGUGCUCCCACAGUGAGCACCGCUCGUCAUUUUAUUAUAGAUCUUCGUGAUUCUUAACCAUCUAAUCUUUAUAAUCUUACCAGCUGCUGGUGGGGUUGGGACAGUGAGGCAGCAAGACUCAAGGUCCAGGAUGAUGAACAACAAUAGUGGCGACGACGCAAGAGGCCCUGGUUCAGGCAUGGGUCCGGGAGUGCCGGAUGUGCCAUUGGGGUCAAUAGUAAUUCAUGAUAAUGCAGGGUGCUGUCAGCAAGAACAUGGAGAGCCUUGUCGUCUCGGCCUUCCAAUAUUUUAUGAAUUUGGUGAUUGGAUAAAGGAACAAUCUUUUCCUUUUGCAGAUUAAGUCAAAAGGGGUCACAAUGACAGCGCUGUUGGCUAAGGCGACAGGAACGGCUCUGCUUCAGCAUCCUAUGGUGAACUUGCAGCUGCAGGGAUGGAAAGAGCUUCACAUACAACAGUAGUAUCAACAUUGCUAUAGCAGUGGCCAUAGAUGGUGGGUUGAUUACAUCGGUUCUUCAAGAUGCUGGUAAGGUCAAACACUUUACCUUGCACAAUGAAUGUUGAUUUUUUAUGAUUUAUUUAAAUGAGUGGUUACUUGUUUGUUUAUGCGUCUUGACAUUUAUUCAUUGUCAAGGAAACAGAAGGAGUUAGUUGAUAAGGCGCGAGCAAAGCAGUUGCAGCCCCAUGAGUACAACUCUGAUUUUUUUUGCCUCAUACACAAAUAUGAAUAUGUAGCACAUUGUUGUAUAUCUUUUCUAAUGCUCUGAAUAAGUGAGAGCACCUAGAGGGGGGGGUGAAUAGGUGAUCCUGUAAAAACUUAACUUAUAGCCACAAAAAGUUGUUAGAGGUUAGCACAAUAAUUGCCAAGUGGCUAAAGAGAAGAUCUUGCACAAUACGACAAUCACAGAGAAUUCAACACAGAGGAGACACGGUGAUUUAUCUCGUGGUUCGGCCAAGUACAAAACUUGCCUACUCCACGUUGUGGCGUCCCAACGGACGAGGGUUGCAAUCAACCCCUCUCAAGCGGUCCAAAGACCCACUUGAAUACCACAGUAUUUUGCCUUGCUUAUCUUUAUCCCACUUGCGAGGAAUCUCCACAAAUUGGAGUCUCUCGCCCUUACACUUAAGAUUCACAAAGAAGCACAGAGUAAGGGAGGGAAGCAACACACACAAAUCUACAGCGAAAUGCGCACACACACGGCCAAGAAUCAAGCUCAAAGACUAUCUCACAGUUUCUCACAAGAACAGAGCUCGAAUCACUUAGAAUCACAAACGGAUGCGCAAAGACUGAGUGUGGAUGAUCAAGAAUGCUCAAGAGUUGCUUGGUGUCCUCCUCCAUGCGCCUAGGGGUCCCUUUUAUAGCCCCAAGGCAGCUAGGAGCCGUUGAGAACAAAUCUGGAAGGCCAUCUUUGCCUUCUGUCGUCGGGCGCACCGGACAGUCCGGUGCACACCGGACAGUGUCCGGUGCCCGAUUCCUUUCCUUAAAUGGCGAAGCCGACCGUUGCAGAUGCGGGAGCCGUUGGCGCACCGGACAUGUCCGGUGCACACCGGACAGUCCGGUGCCCCCUCCCGACCGUUGGCUCGGCCACGUGUCCCGCGCGGAUCGCGCGGCCGACCGUUGGCCCUGGCCGACCGUUGGCUCACCGGACAGUCCGGUGCACACCGGACAGUCCAGUGAAUUUUAGUCGUACGCCGUCAGCAAAUUCCCGAGAGCGGCCUCUUCGGCCGAGAUAGCCUGGCGCACCGGACACUGUCCGGUGCACCACCGGACACUGUCCGGUGCACCACCGGACAGUCCGGUGCCCCAGACCGAAACAGCCUGUUGGCUGUACACAGCCAACUUUCUUCUCUUCUUCUUCUUCCUGUUUCUAAUACUUAGACAAGUAUAUUAGUACACAAAACCAAUGUACUAAGACUUAGAAACAUACCUUUGCUCUAGAUUUGCACUUUGUUCAUCCAUGGGUAUUGAUUCACAUUUAAGCACUUGUGUUGACACUCAAUCACCAAAAUACUUAGAAAUGGCCCAAGGGCACAUUUCCCUUUCAAUUUCCCCCUUUUUGGUGAUUUAUGCCAACACAACAUAAAGCAACUAGAACAAGUGCAAAAUCACUUCAAAUUGGUUUUGAUUCAAUUUUGGCAUAUAUGGAUUACCCUUUGCCACCACUUGGUUUGUUUUUGCAAAUCAAACUCAAAUCUCUAUUUCUAUGUCAAACACACAUGUUGAGGCAUAAAGAGAGUCAUUCCAAAAGAGAUUGAUCAAAGAUUUCAAAAACUCCCCCUAUUUCCCAUAAUCAACACUUCUCCCCACAAGAAGCCAACUUUUGACAAUAGAGACAAUACGAGAAAAUAAAAGCCUUUUGACACAACAAAAACUCUAUUCUAUUAUUUUCAAAAUCUCUCAAGUGGUAGCUGAUCCAUUUAUCACUUUGGCCUUUAUUUUCUCCCCCUUUGGCAUCAAGCACCAAAACGGGAUCAAUCUUGGCCUCUUAACCCCAUUGCCUCACCAAAGUCUUCAAUUAAGAGCAAAUGGCAAUAAGAUUUCAUGAGAUGAACUUGGAAUUAGUUACCCUCUCAUCGGAGUGCAGUGGAAGUCUUUCAUGGUCCAAGUCCACCUUUUCCCUUUCAAUCCUCCUUCGAGACUAAAUUAUCAAACUCAAGCACAUGGUUAGUCGCAAAGGGUCAAGUUGUAACACAUCUCCCCCUAAACAUGUGCAUCACUUUGCAACGGACUUGUGCGGUCCAGGGAGUGUUUGUACAACUUGAGCACCAUAAUAAGCAACAAAAUGCAAAAAGGAACAUGAUCAAAAACAUAAGUACAUGUAUGCUACAAUUCAAUCCAGGUUCCGCGAAUCUAUGACAUUUAGCUCACUACGCAACCUGCAAAAGGUCUUCUCAUCUAGAGGCUUAGUGAAGAUAUCGGCUAGCUGGUUCUCGGUGCUAACAUGAAACACUUCGAUAUCUCCCUUUUGCUGGUGGUCUCUCAAAAAGUGAUGCCGGAUGUCUAUGUGCUUUGUGCGGCUGUGCUCAACAGGAUUUUCCGCCAUGCGGAUAGCACUCUCAUUGUCACAUAGGAGUGGGACUUUGCUCAGAUUGUAGCCAAAGUCCCGGAGGGUUUGCCUCAUCCAAAGUAGUUGCGCGCAACACUGACCUGCGGCAACGUACUCGGCCUCAGCGGUGGAUAGGGCAACGGAGGUUUGUUUCUUAGAGUUCCAUGACACCAGGGACCUUCCUAAGAAUUGGCACGUCCCUGAUGUACUCUUCCUAUCGACCUUACAUCCAGCAUAGUCAGAAUCUGAGUAUCCAACUAAGUCAAAGGUAGACCCCUUUGGAUACCAGAGUCCGAAGCAAGGCGUAGCAACCAAAUAUCUAAGAAUUCGCUUCACUGCCACUAAGUGACACUCCUUAGGAUCGGAUUGAAAUCUAGCACACAUGCAUACGCUAAGCAUAAUAUCCGGUCUACUAGCACAUAAGUAAAGCAAAGAACCUAUCAUUGACCGGUAUGCUUUUUGAUCAACGGACUUACCUCCUUUGUUGAGGUCGGUGUGUCCGUCGGUCCCCAUCGGAGUCUUUGCGGGCUUGGCGUCCUUCAUUCCAAACCGCUUUAGCAGAUCUUGCGUGUACUUCGUUUGGGAGAUGAAGGUGCCGUCCUUGAGUUGCUUCACUUGGAACCCAAGGAAGUAGUUCAACUCGCCCAUCAUCGACAUCUCGAAUUUCUGCGUCAUCACCCUGCUAAACUCUUCACAAGACUUUUGGUUAGUAGAACCAAAUAUUAUGUCAUCGACAUAAAUUUGGCACACAAACAUGUCUUUGUAAAAAGAGUUGGAUCGGCUUUCCCAACCUUGAAAGCAUUAGCAAUUAAAAAGUCUCUGAGGCAUUCAUACCAUGCUCUUGGGGCUUGCUUAAGUCCAUAGAGCGCCUUAGAGAGCUUACACACGUGGUCGGGGUACCGUUCAUCCUCGAAGCCAGGGGGUUGCUCCACGUACACUUCCUCCUUGAUUGGCCCGUUGAGGAAAGCGCUCUUCACAUCCAUUUGGAACAGCCUGAAAGAAUGGUGAGCGGCAUAUGCUAGCAGGAUACGAAUAGACUCUAGCCUAGCCACAGGAGCAAAAGUCUCCUCGAAAUCCAAACCUGCGACUUGGGCAUAACCUUUUGCCACAAGUCGAGCCUUGUUUCUUGUCACCACCCCGUGUUCGUCCUGUUUGUUGCGGAACACCCACUUGGUUCCCACAACAUUUUGCUUCGGACGAGGCACCAGCGUCCAAACUUCAUUUCUCUUAAAGUUGUUGAGCUCCUCCUGCAUGGCCAACACCCAGUCCGGAUCUAGCAAGGCCUCCUCUACCCUGAAAGGCUCAAUAGAAGAGACAAAGGAGUAAUGCUCACAAAAAUUAACUAAUCGAGAUCGAGUAGUUACUCCCUUGCUAAUGUCACCCAGAAUUUGGUCGACGGGAUGAUCCCUUUGAAUCAUCGCUCGAACUUGGGUUGGAGGUGCUGGUUGCGCAUCUUCCUCCAUCACACGAUCAUCUUGUGCUCCCCCUUGAUCACACGCCUCCUGUUGAUGAACCUGUUCAUCGUCAUGAGUUGGGGGUAGCACCAUAGUUGAGGAAGAUGGUUGAUCUCGUUCAUCUUGUUCCUGUGGUCGCACUUCUCCAAUCGCCAUGGUUCGUAUAGCGGCCGUCGGAACAUCUUCUUCAUCUAUACAAUCAACAACUUGCUCUCUUGGAGAGCCAUUAGUCUCAUCAAAUACAACGUCGCUAGAGACUUCAACCAAACCCGAUGAUUUGUUGAAGACUCUAUACGCCUUUGUAUUUGAGUCAUAACCUAAUAAAAACCCUUCUACAGCUUUGGGAGCAAACUUAGAAUUUCUACCCUUCUUCACUAGAAUGUAGCACUUGCUCCCAAAUACACGAAAGUAAGAUACAUUGGGUUUGUUACCGGUUAGAAGCUCAUAUGACGUCUUCUUGAGGAGGCGGUGAAGGUAGACCCUGUUGAUGGCGUGGCACGCCGUGUUCACGGCUUCCGACCAAAAACGCUCGGGGGUCUUGAACUCUCCAAGCAUAGUCCUCGCCAUGUCGAUUAGCGUCCUGUUCUUCCUCUCUACCACACCAUUUUGCUGUGGUGUGUAGGGAGCAGAGAACUCAUGCUUGAUCCCUUCCUCCUCAAGGAACUCCUCCACUUGAAGGUUCUUGAACUCGGACCCGUUGUCGCUCCUUAUCUUCUUCACCUUGAGCUCAAACUCAUUUUGAGCUCUCCUGAGGAAGCGCUUGAGGGUCCCUUGGGUUUCAGACUUAUCCUGCAAAAAGAACACCCAAGUGAAGCGGGAAAAAUCAUCAACAAUAACUAAACCAUACUUAUUCCCUCCUAUGCUCAGAUAGGCGACAGGUCCGAAGAGGUCCAUAUGCAGCAGCUCCAGGGGUCUUGAAGUGGUCAUCACGUUCUUGCUGUGAUGCGCUCCUCCCACUUGUUUACCUGCUUGACAAGCUGCACAAGGUCUAUCUUUUUCGAAAUGCACGUUAGUCAAACCUAUCACGUGUUCUCCCUUUAGAAGCUUGUGAAGGUUCUUCAUCCCCACAUGUGCUAAGCGGCGAUGCCACAGCCAGCCCAUGCUAGUCUUAGCUAUUAAGCAUGCAUCUAGACCGGCCUCUUCUUUUGCAAAAUCAACUAAAUAAAGUUUGCCGUCUAAUACACCCUUAAAAGCUAGUGAACCAUCACUUCUUCUAAAGACAGACACAUCUACAUUUGUAAAUAGACAGUUAUACCCCAUGUGACAUAAUUGACUAACAGAUAGCAAAUUAUAUCCAAGACUCUCUACUAAAAAUACAUUAGAGAUAGAAUGCUCAUUAGAAAUCGCAAUUUUACCUAACCCUUUUACCUUGCCUUGAUUCCCAUCACCGAAUAUAAUUGAAUCUUGGGAAUCCUUAUUCUUGACGUAGGAGGUGAACAUCUUCUUCUCCCCCGUCAUAUGGUUUGUGCAUCCGCUAUCAAUAAUCCAGCUUGAACCCCCGGAUGCAUAAACCUGCAAGGCAAAUUUAGGCUUGGGACUUAGGUACCCAACUCAUGUUGGGUCCUACAAGGUUAGCACAAAUAUUCUUAGGGACCCAAAUGCAAGUUUUAUCUCCCUUGCAUCUUGCCCCUAACUUUCUAGCAACAAUUUUCUUAUCCUUUCUACAAAUAGCAAAGGAAGCAUUUAGAGCACAAUAAAUUUCGGAAGGUUCAUUCACUACUUUCCUAGGAGCAUUAUGAACUACAUUUCUCCUAGGCAUUUGGUGAACAACAUUUCUUCUAAACACAUUUCUACCAUGCAUAAUAUGAGAACUAGAAGCAGUCAUAGCAUAAGAGUCAUAAGCAUGUGAAUCAAAAACAUCAUUACUUCUAAAAGCAUUUCUAGAGUAUCUUCUAUCAUAGUACAUGAAAGCAUGAUUCUUCUUAACACUAUUAGCCAUAGGAGCCUUCCCUUUCUUCUUGGUGGAGAUAGGAGUCUUAUGGCUUGUUAAGUUCUUGGCUUCUCUCUUGAAGCCAAGACCAUCCUUAAUUGAGGGGUGUCUACCCACUGUGUAGGCAUCCCUUGCAAAUUUUAUUUUAUCAACUUCACUCUUGCUAGUCUUAAGUUGAGCAUUAAGACUAGCCACUUCAUCAUUUAGUUUUGAAAUUGAAACUAAGUGUUCACUACAAGCAUCAAAAUCCUUACACCUAGUGCAAAUUGUAAUAUUUUCUACAUACGAGUUACUUGCUACUUCUAGUUUAGCAGUUAAAUCGUUAAUUUCACCUUUUAAAGAAGAAAUGAUUUCAUUACAAGUAGAAAGUUCACAAGAAAGUAUUCCAUUUCUUUUAACUUCUAGAGCAAGUGAAUUUUGUGCACUAACAAAUUUAUCAUGUUCUUCAUAUAAGAGGUCUUCUUGUUUCUCUAAGGUUCUAUCCUUUUCAUUUAGGGCAUCGAUCAACUCAUUAAUCUUAGCUAUCUUAGUUCUAUCCAAUCCCUUGAAUAAACUAGAGUAAUCAAUUUCAUCCUCACUAGAUUCAUCAUCACUAGAAGAAUCAUAAGUAUUAGCAUUACGAGUGAUUACCUUCUUUUCCCUUGCCAUGAGGCAAGUGUGAUGCUCAUUGGGGAAGAGAGCCGAUUUGUUGAAGGCAGUGGCGGCGAGUCCUUCGUCGUCGGAGUCGGACGAAGAGCAAUCCGAAUCCCACUCCUUUCCAAGGUGUGCUUCGCCUUUGGCCUUCUUGUAAGCCUUCUUGUUCUCUCUCUUCCCAUUUUUCCCUUGCUCCUGGUCACUAUCAUUUUCGGGACAGUUAGCAAUAAAAUGACCAAGCUUACCGCAUUUGAAGCAUGAUCGCUUUCCCUUGGUCUUGGCCUUGCUUGGCUGUCCCUUUCGACCUUUUAGCGCCGUCUUGAAUCUCUUGAUGAUGAGAGCCAUCUCUUCAUCAUUGAGCCCGGCCGCCUCAACUUGCGCCACCUUGCUAGGAAGCGACUCCUUGCUCCUCGUUGCCUUUAGAGCAAUGGGUUGAGGCUCAUGGAGUGGACCGUUCAAUGCGUCGUCGACGUAUCUUGCCUCCUUGAUCAUCAUCCGCCCGCUCACGAAUUUUCCAAGUACUUCCUCGGGCGUCAUCAUCGUGUACCUGGGAUUCUCACGAAUAUUGUUCACGAGAUGAGGAUCAAGAACGGUAAAGGACCUGAGCAUUAGGCGGACGACGUCGUGAUCCGUCCAACGUGUGCUUCCGUAGCUCCUUAUUUUGUUGAUAAGAGUCUUGAGCCGGUUGUAAGUUUGAGUUGGCUCCUCUCCCCUUAUCAUGGCGAAUCGUCCAAGCUCGCCCUCCACCAACUCCAUCUUGGUGAGCAUGGUGAUGUCGUUCCCCUCGUGAGAGAUCUUGAGGGUGUCCCAUAUCUGCUUGGCAUUGUCCAAGCCACUCACCUUAUUGUACUCUUCCCUGCACAAAGACGCUAAGAGAACAGUAGUAGCUUGUGCAUUUCUAUGAAUUUGUUCAUUUAUAAGCAUAGGGCUAUCCGAGCUAUCAAAUUUCAUUCCAUUCUCCACAAUCUCCCAUAUGCUUGGAUGGAGAGAGAAUAAGUGACUACGCAUUUUGUGACUCCAAAAUCCGUAGUCCUCCCCAUCGAAGUGUGGAGGUUUGCCAAGAGGAAUGGAAAGCAAAUGCGAAUUCGAACUAUGUUGAAUACGAGAAUAAUCAAAUGAAAAGUUCGAAUUGACCGUCUUUUUGUAGUCGUUGUCAUUAUCCUUUUGGGAAGAAGUAGACUCAUCACUAUCGUCGUAGUAGAUGAUCUCCUUGAUGCGCCUUGUCUUCUUCUUCUUCCCUUCCUUCCGUCUAUGCCCCGAGCCGGAGUCGGUAGGCUUGUCGUCCUUCGGCUCGUUGACGAAGGAUUCCUUCUCUUUGUCGUUGAUCACGAUUCCCUUCCCCUUAGGAUCCAUCUCUUCGGGCGGUAAGUCCCUUUGUGAAGAGAACGGCUCCGAUACCAAUUGAGAGCACCUAGAGGGGGGGGGGGUGAAUAGGUGAUCCUGUAAAAACUUAACUUAUAGCCACAAAAAGUUGUUAGAGGUUAGCACAAUAAUUGCCAAGUGGCUAAAGAGAAGAUCUUGCACAAUACGACAAUCACAGAGAAUUCAACACAGAGGAGACACGGUGAUUUAUCCCGUGGUUCGGCCAAGUACAAAACUUGCCUACUCCACGUUGUGGCGUCCCAACGGACGAGGGUUGCAAUCAACCCCUCUCAAGCGGUCCAAAGACCCACUUGAAUACCACAGUAUUUUGCCUUGCUUAUCUUUAUCCCACUUGCGAGGAAUCUCCACAAAUUGGAGUCUCUCGCCCUUACACUUAAGAUUCACAAAGAAGCACGGAGUAAGGGAGGGAAGCAACACACACAAAUCUACAGCGAAAUGCGCACACACACGGCCAAGAAUCGAGCUCAAAGACUAUCUCACAGUUUCUCACAAGAACAGAGCUCGAAUCACUUAGAAUCACAAACGGAUGCGCAAAGACUGAGUGUGGAUGAUCAAGAAUGCUCAAGAGUUGCUUGGUGUCCUCCUCCAUGCGCCUAGGGGUCCCUUUUAUAGCCCCAAGGCAGCUAGGAGCCGUUGAGAACAAAUCUGGAAGGCCAUCUUUGCCUUCUGUCGUCGGGCGCACCGGACAGUCCGGUGCACACCGGACAGUGUCCGGUGCCCGAUUCCUUUCCUUAAAUGGCGAAGCCGACCGUUGCAGAUGCGGGAGCCGUUGGCGCACCGGACAUGUCCGGUGCACACCGGACAGUCCGGUGCCCCCUCCCGACCGUUGGCUCGGCCACGUGUCCCGCGCGGAUCGCGCGGCCGACCGUUGGCUCACCGGACAGUCCGGUGCACACCGGACAAUCCGGUGAAUUUUAGCCGUACGCCGUCAGCAAAUUCCCGAGAGCGGCCUCUUCGGCCGAGAUAGCCUGGCGCACCGGACACUGUCCGGUGCACCACCGGACACUGUCCGGUGCACCACCGGACAGUCCGGUGCCCCAGACCGAAAUAGCCUGUUGGCUGUACACAGCCAACUUUCUUCUCUUCUUCUUCUUCCUGUUUCUAAUACUUAGACAAGUAUAUUAGUACACAAAACCAAUGUACUAAGACUUAGAAACAUACCUUUGCUCUAGAUUUGCACUUUGUUCAUCCAUGGGUAUUGAUUCACAUUUAAGCACUUGUGUUGAUACUCAAUCACCAAAAUACUUAGAAAUGGCCCAAGGGCACAUUUCCCUUUCAAUAAGAUGUGGUGGUACAGUGCAGAAUAAUAUGUUCUGUUUUUUUAUUCAACUAUUCAAAUCUUAUUUUUUAUUCAGCUAUUCAAAUCAUAUUUUUUUGAUUAGCUGAUUGCCGGAGAGAUUAAAAUCAAAGGGGUUGAGCUGCAGGAGAGUUGCAGUUUGUCGUUCUUUUCCAUGUUGAAUAUUUGUUUUAAAAAAGAAUUUAGUGACAAACAUCUUUGUUAUUGGUAUGAGUAAUAACAAAACACUUUUCAAUUUUAAUUAUAUCUUCCAAAAGUUUAAUGAAAAGUAAUAUAUAUUAUGUUUCUUUUAAUUUUCAAUUAAAUUAUAUGCACAGGAUUCUACCUGUGGUCCAUCUCUAGCAAAAGUUAUCUCUACUACUUAUUAAAGGGAAGAGGAGAUGCGGGAGCGGGGCCGAGGUAUAGAGGACUUUGAUCUAUACCACGGCCUCCGCUCAACGCCAAGUAAAUGUAUUGGUGGGCCUUCUUCUUCAGCAUCCUCAUUUGGUUUCUGUGUCUCGUGAAAAUGACUUGGAUUCCAACAUCACAAGAAGGUUGGUGCCAUGAAUGCACUUGUGAGUGGCUAAAUACGAAGAAUUUAAGAAUGUAUCUUGCUAACUUUAGUUACUUGGAUGUAAUGGAGGUUUAAUGUUUUAUAUGCAGGUUUGUGUAACAGCUCUCCUUACUACUGGGCAAUCCCUAUUAAGCGUGGUUUAUUUAUGCGGGAACCUGUGACCUGAGUGCAUUAUUUAUGCCAUGCUUCUAUUCCAUCGUUUACUGAUGUUUGAUCCUGUUAACCAGGUAGUACCAAUAUUUUUGUAUUGAAAUUGAAGUAUCAAUUUUAUGGUGCCUUUCUUAAGAUUAUGCACCCCAGCUCUCUCCGUAGUGUUUUUAGUCCUCAACAUGUACUUAGCAGUGGUAACACAUCACAAUCCAAAUGUUUCUUCACAAUGGAGUAGUUCUGAAUUUUUUAGCUUGUUUGAUGGGAUGAUGAAAUGAGGAAAAACUGUCUAAACUGUCUACUAUACUGUAUACCAAGAUCCUCACCUUUUAAAUGGCUUGUAGGUCUGUCACCAAGAGCAGGAGUUCAAUUCUGCAUUUUGCUGCAUUUUAGAUGGCCUGUAAGUCCUAAUUCACCACGCACAGGUCUAAGACCACAAAUUCAGUCAUAUGCUGCAUUUUGCAUUCUCGAUAUCUAGCACUAUCUGAAAUCAUUAUUUACCUAGCAUAGGCUGAUGUUGCUAUUCUUCUUAGGAAGGUACUAACUUUUUAAACUCAUCAUUGUCGUCGUUGUCGCGCACAAGAAGUUUUCGCUCUCCUGCCUAGGUCGAGGCAUCGAGCGCGUCAUUGUCUUCCUCGACCUCUACAACUAGGGAUCUACGUGAGUACCACUGCUCCCCCAUAGCACCCCACCGCAGAUGUGAUUUUCUGCUUGUGUAUUCUGUCGAUCUGUCUCUUUUUUGGGAGAUUCGAACGCACCAUCAGUAGCUUGGACCUGAGUCAGGCGCCUUCAGUGACGCGAGAUUUCCUUCUUAAACUUUAGCAUAAGUACUUAUUUUACCGUUAUAUAUUCAAAAAUUAAUCUUCUCAAGAAAGGUAGGGGACUGAUUGUGUCUUCGAUUGAGACAGACCCACAAACAUGACAAUGGAGCUGUUUUGAACAAUCUGUGUCCAUAACCAUACCAUUUAGAGAUACACAGUAAUUCUCAUGUAGAUGAACUCAUGACCCAAGAUGCAAAUAUUUGUGAUUCAAGUGCACACAAGACCAUCAAAUAAAAACCAUGCUAAAAACACAAUAGGCAAUAGAGAAGUCCAUGUGUUUAUUUAAUUCCCCAAGCUAGAAUAUUCAUCAUCUGUAUGAAUUGAUUACUAAGAAACAUUAGGGGAAAAAGUAUACAGUUUUGAUAGAAAGUCGUUGCGCCUGCGCCGCCGGCUUCGACGAUCUACCGAACCUCCCCGAGCUUGGUCCCUAGGUUUGAAGAUGAUACUUUCUUUGUAUGCUAAUUUUCUCAAAGAUUUUUCUUCUCUUCUGUGUCUGCAACAAAGGUGUGGAGAGGUAUGAACAUGAAUCUGUAACACUAUUUUCUUUCCAGUGCUUAAUUUUUUAAUGCUUUGUACAAUUAUUGUGUGCAUUGCAAUCUUGUUAAUAUAUAUAUCUUUAGUCAUCAUGGAUUUUCAAUGUCUGUAUUUAUUCAGCAUACAUUUUUGUAACGUCUGUGUAAAAACAAUGAAGGAUCAUAUGUACUUUCUAUUUCUUUCUACAGGAUCAAGCUUACUUCCCAUAUCUAACAUUGUUCUCCAUCAACUGGAAGGGAAAUCCAGCAAAGGUCAUUUUUAUGUUAUUGCAGGCCAUUCCAUUGAAAUAUAUAAAUCCAGUUUUCUUGUUUAUUUAUAGCAUAUUUACCAUAUUUAUGUGAAUGGUGGGGGAGACCCCUACAUGUAUUUCUAGCAAUCAAGCAGUUUCCUAAUUUUUUUAGACUUUUUCAGCCUCCUCUACUGCUCAUGUUGCUGGCUUGUAACUGGUGGGCUAGGGGUUAUCUAGAGAUGACAAGGCCCUCAAGUUGGCUUUCCAGCACUGGAUCGAAGCGAUGAGUACAAACGGGCAGUGGGGAUUGGUGGGUUUUACUGCCCAUUCUUGCUCUUUUCAUGGUACAAUUAUCAUGUUUUUUUCCUACAGUGAUGUUUUAUUUUGUGGCAACAUCUUUCGACCAUAAACAGAUACACUCACUUUGACGAAUGUUGAUAUACUUUCAGCAUUCAAUUGUAGAUAGAAUUCUUGCUUUCGUGUAGAUCUAGGUCAUCGCGUCGCUGUCUUUGUUUGGCUGGUUGUAGAGCCUGCGCCUUAGGUUUGUUUAGCUCCUCGGUUCUUCUAGCUCCGGUAUGGUUUCCUUUUUGCGCAUAGUGGCGGCAUCUGAUGCAUAGUUCGACGGUCCCUCGCGUUGCUCCGGUAUGUCGUGUUCCUCUCAUAUUGCUUCGUCUAUUUUUUGGCCUAUUGUAGAAUUGUUUUGUUUGUUUCCCGUUUUCUUUGAAAUAUGAACUGUUGAUUUUCCUGUAGACUCCAACUGACAAAGUUAAAGCAAAGAUGAAGCUUCACCUUAUAGAGACAGGUGAUGACUCUUUCAGUUCAUGGAAUCAACAUGGCACAAAGAAGUUUUCGGCCUGUCAUUGUCAAUAUCAUUUUGAGACCCAGCUUCUUGAGAUGCUAUCAAUGAGCUAAGAUCAGCAACUGCACAUGCCUUACCCUCAGCAACUCCAGGAGAUACCGCACUCUCUUCUGAAGGAACUAUUUUUGCAUUGCGAACUGGAGCUGUUUUAACCUCCAUCAUAUCGACCCCUUUGACAUCAACAUCCUGCACCACAGGUACCUUAGGAGAAACAAUGAGCUCCCCCGGUUCUUUUAUCAUAUCAAAUGUAUCACAUAUAUCGGCACUUCCAGAACCUUUGAUGUCCCACUAGAAGGUGACAGAUUUUCUUUAUGUGUCACCCCUGUGGGAGAACUUUCAAGAGUAGUUACAACCUCAGUAUUCAUAGAUUUAAGUUCGCCUUCCAAUGGAUCAAUCUGGAGUUCAGUCUUUUCAAUCUCCUUGGAGAUGCUUUCCUUCGGUUGGAGUAGCUUACAUGUACUGGUGGGGCCAUUUGAAUCCCCAGAACAAGAAUCAUUAUGUUGCAUAAGUUCAACAAGAAUGUUUGUAUGGCCAUUAAUAGGAUCAUCACCGAGCUUUCCUAUUUUUGAUUUCCAAGCUCAAAAAUUGGAGCUUUGCCUGGCCCCUCUUUCAAUUUGACAUCUAACUGAUCUCCAUUUCCAGCACAUGUUGUUCUUCCAGAAUGUAUGUUGCUUGAAUCCGAAUCACAAUGCCUAAAAUUGCAAUUCUAGCUCAUAAAUUCUGGAUCUUUUUCCCCACCGACUAGGACUACGACUAGGGACUCCUCAUAACUAAUCAUCGUUUCUUAAUUCAGUACCAUAAAUUAUUUUAUUUACUCGUCUAAAUAAAUGCUUUAUUAGCCGUGUAGUUUGGUACAUAAAUCUAUACUACUAUAUUAAGGUUGCAACUACCUCCCCUGGUUCUGUCAUCCAUGAAUCUACACCAUCCAUCUAUAUCAUCAAAUCUACACCAUCCGCUACCAGCCCCAUCCGACACACCCUGCCCCCAAACCCCAGUCGCAUCAGCGCCACCAGCCUCAUUCGUCCUCCUCACCCCAUCUGCAGUCACCGCCAGCACCCGAAUGUCGCGUUGUUCACUCUUUAGUUUUGAUCCUGCAUUUUAAAUAUUCUCUAGAUACAUACUAGAUAUUAUUUACUAAUGUUAUUUAAGCAAUGUUCUAUCUCUUAGCUUUAUUUGAACUCGAUGCUGCAUUGCUACUCAGACACACAAGUCAUCCAUUUGCUGGUGGAUGAGGGAAAAGAUUACCUUCGAAUUUCCACAUUGUUUACCAGCUAAUUUCUUAUUCCAUUUGGCAAACUAGCUCCCAGAAAUAAAAUUUAAAUAUAUUUUGUUGAGCUUCUCAUUUGCACAUAUAAUUUUACAGUUUUACUGAGUUUAGUAAAAACACCGUGUACCAGCACAUAAUAUCAAUACGAAGUUGUUACUUAAACUCAAUAAGAGAGCAUCAUAGUGUUGCAUAAAUAAGUGUGCUUAUGAUUCAUAUUUGCUCAUUGCAAAUUGGAGUUAUUCGUGUUGUUUCUUGGUAUACUCAACAAAGAGAUGUUAACCACUUGGGUUUAUCUCAUUGCCACACUCAAUUAUGUCACGUAACUUCAUUUUCAUGUUUUAUUUUGUUCCAGCAAUGUAGUUUAUCUUUGUUUUAAUAGCUUUUUCUUUGCAAAACAACAUUUUGUUGCGGUUAUUACGCGGAUAAGAGAACCUAAAACUAUAGCACUGAUGUUUGUGUGACAUAAGAGAACCUAAAACACAUUGAUGACAUUUGCGGCCAAGAGCUACAGUGGGGUGGUUGAUGUGCUUGGAGAAUGAGAAGUUAAAGAAUGGACUUAAGUUAUUUCAACGACUUCAUUACCUGGCGCGCACAUGAGUAUUGUAUAAUGUAUUAUCAUUUUAUGGAAUCAAUGUGUUUUAUUUGAGAUGUUUUAAUAUUCGCUACAAUAUUGUUUAUUUUUUUUAUAAAUGACAAAGCACAUGUAAACCUUGUAUGUCUUGUAAACAUGCACUUUUAGUGAUGCUAAUAAAAGUACAAAAUUAAAAAUAACAAUUACUGUUUUUGCAUAUCAAUGUAUUUUAUCAUAUAUUGAUUUCGUAGCAACGUAAGGGUAUAUUUAUAUAUAAGUUAUCAUGGUAUCAUGUGUUCCCGUUGCAACGCACGGGCACUCACCUAGUAUAUAAUACAAUCUCCGGAUGAUGUAGUAGUAGUAGCCAACCUAACCUAACCCAACAAUCCCCUCACUACGGAGAAACUUUUUCAUGCACAUAACGUUAUUAGCAAGACUAUGCUAUGAAAUUAGAACAUGCAGAUAGCUCACAAAGUCACAAUUCAGUUUUAAAGCAAGGACCAAUUUUCAAAAUUCAGUUUAUACAUACCUCUCAUAAUUCAGUGCUGAUAAGGACAAUACCCGUACCAUUUACACCCCUAAUUGAUAGGGUCCACCUUUUUCUAUGGAUAGGGUCAACUCAACGACUACGGAGAAACUUCAUAAAGUUAAUAUAUAAUAUAAUCUCCGGAUGAUGUAGUAGUAACCAACCUAACCUAACCCAACAUCGGUCUUCCAGAAAACCGGAACAUCUUUUAAGCAUUGACAUUCCAAGGAGGACAGAACUCAACUGCCUUUGGAGUAGGAGACACCUCGCACAUCACAGGGACCAAUACAAUGCCGCUGGGCAGCUGACGGCGGCGUGAGCGUGACCGAUCUUGUAAGGUUGGUUGGCCGGCCGGUGGUUGGACUUUGUAGAUCAAGCAGGGAUGAUCUGAUCGUUGGACACCUGUUUCCGUGGGGGCGCACUGCCCAGUGAAUUGCUGCUGGAAAAAGGCAGCUCGGCCUCGCCUGACCUGACUGACUGGCGAGUGGCGACCGGGGAACAAACCGCUGUGCGGAGCUUCCAACCCCGUCGAAAAGAAACUGGUCCUGGUCUCAAGAAGCAAUGCUGCCGUGUUUCCGGAUGCAGUGUCGCGCCCCGUCUUCUUCAGCCACCCUCAGGCUCUCUCCACAGCGAGUCUUUAGCAUCAGCAUCAGCCUUCAGCAACUGAAGUGCGCACGCCGGCGGGAAGGAGGAGCGGCGGUUCCUGGAACAGGUUUACACGCCGGGAAGAAACGUCACUGCUGGUCUAGUGUUUCAGGGUCAGCCAUUUCCCGCAACUGAACAACUCAAAGUACAGUACUUGUGAGGAACGCUCUUCAGGGACCGUGGUUCUGCAUCCACCAUCAAUGUUACAGAUCCACCAGGAACCUGACAGGGAAAUUCAUUGCCCUGCUUUGACUGGAGAGUACUGUACAAUCUUCAGACGAGAACGCCCGAAAAAGCUGCAGCACCACGCGAGACGCACGCACAGUUUCACGAAUCGAGUGCGUCAGAGAAGAAGACGGGGCCAUUAGAUCCCACUGCGAGAUCGGGAAAGCCACAAGCCAUUUUCCUGCCGAACGGUUCAUCACAGCAACGACCCACGCGGCCCUCCGUUUGUGUCAGAGAUGAAUAUGCUCUGGGCUGUGGGGCGGGCAUUGGGCAAGCACGAGAGGGGAUCAUUCGCAUGCACUGUGUAAAAAAAAUAAAAGCUGAUGCUGAUGCGGCCACUGCAUGUUUGGAUGGGUUUUGUUGCUGAAAAGGGACCUGCACUUUUAUUUGACAGAGACGAGUGGUAUACGCAGUGGGGCAAAUCACUGGGUGACUCAUUCUUUGAUUCCUUCACAGUAACAAAAGAUGCAAGGAACAAUAGUACUGUAUGUGUUAGCCAGAGACACUACUACUGCCGUACUGCGUGCUUGACUGCUUGUCUUGCCUCCAAGGGUUACAAUACAACAGAACAUUACAGGCUCCAAAUGCCAUGGAAAAUGCUCCUCAGCCUGCUCCCGCCAAGCCUCUUCACGAUCCGUUUGGCGUCUGGGACAUCGGCCUCCGCAAGCUUCUCGAGAUUCCUGCCACAAGAACACAAGCAUUUGUUUUUUUUUCAAAAAAAAACUGAGAGCAGCGAUAAUUGAUGAGCACAUGAUGAUUGGCUACUGAUAAGUGUGCGUGUUGUUCGUAUCGCACUGUAUUACCUGACGUGCUCCGAGGACAUGAUCUUCCUCCGGCCGGAGCUGCUGUCCGUGAGGUGCGCCACCGUCGACAGCAGGAACCGCCUCGCCGGCGCGGGCUUCUCCUUCUCCUCGUCGGGGCCCAGCAGCUGCAGCACCCGCGCCACGUCGCGGUCCUCCUGGACGAACCGCUUCCGGUUGCGGGGCACGGUCACCAGGGCGCACAGCGACUCGCCCGCCAUCUCCCGCGCCUCGGGGGGCUUACUGGACGCGCCGAGGACGCCCACCAGCUCCGGCAUGAACCCGGCGUCGCCCAUCGCCUUCUUGACAUCCUCCGACACCUGGCACAGGCGGUGCGCGGCCUUCAGCGCGCAGUGCUGCAGCAGCGUGUUGUCGCCGUUGCGGAGGAGGGAGAGGACGCGGUCGAGGAACCCGGCGGCGAGGAGACGCCCGGUGGAGUUGGGCGGCGACAGGCACAGCGCGUCGAUGGCGCGGAGGGCCACCUCCCGCACCUUCGACGACGAGGAGGAGGAGGAGGAGGAGGGGUCGAGCGCCCGGACGAGGCACUCGACGGCGCCUUCUUGUACCACUGCGUCCCUGGCUGAGGUAUCCCCGGAGCCGAUGGCGGCGAGGAGCUCCAUCGCCUGGAUUCGCGCCGCGUCGUGCGUGGCCCUCUGCGAGAGCGUCACGAGCACGGGGACGGCCCCGGCGUCGGCCACCAUGUACUUCCUGAUCUCGUCGACCCCCGCGAGGCUCCGCAGCACCCGGCACGCCGCGCACACGAGCUCGCCGCCUCCGCUCGCUCCGUGGCCCGCCGCGCACAGGCCCAGCAGCGCCGUGACGCCGCCGUGCGCGGCGACGGCCCACGCGUUGUCCGAGUUCUCGGUGAGCCUGCAGAGCACCCGCGCCGCGCUCUCCCUGGCCGCCUCGCUGCCGGCGCCCCCCGCGUCCAGGACGCGGACCACGGGCGCGAUGACGCCGCCCACGACCAGGUCCCCCCUGUGCGCGUCGGACCGGGCGAUCGCCGAGACCGCCUCCAGGGCCUCCUCCUGGACGCGCGCGUCGGGGCACUCGAGCAGCGCGACGAGGGCGCCGACGCCGUCCGCGACGUCGGACGCCACCACGCGGGCGCACCUCUCGUCGUCGCGCAGCGCCUCGCUGAGCGCGGCCGCGGCCUCCCUCCGCAUCUCGCCGCCGCCGACCCUCAGCCUGGCGAAGAGGUCGCGCACGUAGAACCGCACGUCGUCGCGGCUGGCCCCGGCGCCGGGCCGCGGCACCACCAGCGCCCGCGCCCGCGUCAGCGCGCCCGACGCGUACACCUCGUCCAGCCGCGCCACGUGCGCGUCGAGGGCCGCGCCCAGGACGUCCAGGUCGCUGCGCAGCCGCAGCUUGCCGCCGCCGUAGUGCCGCCCCUGGCUCCGCGGCACCAGCUCCAUCGCCUCCCGGGCGGCCGCCGCGACGUCCCGCAGGAGGUUCGCCAACGCGUCGCACCUGUUCUCGUCGCCCGCGGAGACGGUGAUGUCGGCGAGGCCCGCGUGGAGCCGGUUGAGCCGGUCCCUGAUGAGCUGCCACUUGAGCGGGAACAGCGUCGCGGACAAGGAGGCAGAUACCAACGAAUUGAUGGCCUGCAGCGCCUCCGCCAGGCACCGCUGCUCAUCCAGCUCCGCUUGCCGGCUCACCUCCGCCGGCGCGGCCGAGGAUUCUUCCUCACCAGCUGCUUCCCCCAUCCUCUGUAACCACAGCUCUCACAGCCUCAGCUGCAUCGGUUAGCUCUUCUCCGAACAAGGCUCACAUGCACCGAUUCUUGCCGCGCUCGCGUCGAGCAAGGAAGCGAGGAAGAGGAGAGAGGUGGAAGUGGCGGUGCGUGUAGUGUGAUAACUGUAACUGCACGGUGGUGCUGAACUGGAAGGCGACCGACCGCUUUGCCGUCUUCAAGGUAGUUAGUUAAUGGAGGUGGAGGCGGGUGGGUCCAACAGUGGGCGGCGGACCCACCGUGCAACUGUUGAUGCAUGCGCUGGGCUCUCGGGAGAAGGCGACGACGAGGCCCCCUUGUCCUGGGGAUCGGCGAGCUUUGGGGCGGAGCGGCGAGCGCAGGUCGAGGGGAAUGGAAUAGCGGCACGACGACACAAGUGACCGCACCAGACUACCAAAGCCUACGAUACGAGUUAGGAUCGCGUGACAUACUGACAUGCCCAAAUGCUAGGCGCACAAAAAUGGAGAAGCAUGGAACCACCCUCUUCAACUGUAAGAGCACUUUUAUCAGCAAAUAAUCUUGUUGAGUCCAUGAUUCUCUUCAACUGUAAGAGCACCUUUCUUCUGAUUAUCAAAAAAAAAGUUGAUCAAACUGUCGGAUCAUGCAUGUAGCCUCCAUGUAUACUUGUGGAGCCUUUGUGGAGCCUCUGCGAGUCAGAUCACAAACCAAAAUACAAUAAAAUUAUUAAAUAAACUUAGAUCAAAAGUACCGAACCACAACGAAUUAGGAGAUAGAAAGAUAUAUUAUAAUUAUUGAGUUUAGUAGCGUAUAACAUAAUGUUGAUAUGGCUUGGUCUUGGUGUAUAAAUCUAUUGGAAGUGGGGAUUGUAAGUUAAGGAAAUAAAUAAUUAAAAUUUAAUUUCUAAGUAUAAAUGAGUAAAUAAGAGAUCAAUGGAGAGAAUAUGCCGAUUCGGUCAAAAGAUUGACCGAACCAGACUCAACUCACGUGUCAUGAUCGUCAUCAGGGCUACAACAACCUUAUAGUUGGCCCGGACCAUUUCACACAACCCAUAUUAACAGGGAGAGGGCUAACACGUGAACCGACGUUUAUCGUAACCUCUUCUCCUAUAUAUAAAUUAUGAUAAGACUUGGUCUGUCUCUACAUACUCGGUUAGCGAAGGAAAGACCACCGUCUAGCUUGUCGUCGUUGAGCCGAUCUAGCUUGAUCGCCCUAAUGAUGUCGUCAUUGUUUAGCACCAAACAUGUAAGCCCUAUUUUAACAUAUCUUGUGGCUAGAGUUUAUGAGCAAUUUUCUAGCAAACCUAAUAUAUAAAUUGACUCUACCAGAUAACGAGCCACCAGCCACCAAUCUUUUCAUCGCCUAGGAAAGAGUCCAUUUCAGCUAGGCCUAGGCUGGCUUUGUCCGCGCGCCGCCCACUGUCUUGCAGACUUCCACUGCACCUUCUUCCUCCAUGCAUGUGAGCCCUUCCUAGAUUUGGCUGCACCUCGAUCCAAUGGGGGGCAAUAGCUAGCUUAUGGCUGUGCUGUGCGCUUGUGCCUCACGGGAGAGCUGAGGCUUGCUUUUGCGGGCUGGUGUGGAUGUGAAGGAACAAAGGGCGGAAGGAGCACGGGAAAAGAUGCAAUGCACGUAUAAAAAAGAUCUGCAUGGCAAGGAUCUCAUCUCACAGGAGUCUUGUUGCCCUUAUAUGCCCUCAUGUCGUACGUUAGUCCUGUGAUGAGAGUGUGCUAGAGCCUAGAGGCAAAGUUUGUUACUGUGUGGUCAUCUGUGUUGCCCCGUGUGCCCCCGUGGUACGUAAAGAGAUAGUACAGAGUGGAAACAUGUGAUUCGUACAAGCAUUUCCAUUGUUCGGCAGCAAGGACGAGAACAAUUUAGCAUGGAUUUUGCCAUGCAUUUCUUAACUUAUUAGCUAAUAACACGGGCUCAUCCGUCGGCCGGGUUCUUCUCUUCUCGCCGGAUGCGCCCAUGCCUGCAUGGGAUCGAGCUGCUGGGGCUCAGAGGCAGCACAUGUGGCCGGGAACUGUUCAUGGACCGCCCGCCGCCGCCACUCUAUAUAUUGCCAAUAUCACUGCUGAAAUCAAUGAACGUUAGUUCUCGCAAAAAUGCAGCAGCUAGCUAGCGGUGGGUCACGGAUGCAUGGCCGAAUCGUCUACUGUUUGCCGUCAGCACUCCGCCGGGCAUGAGACUAUUAUCUCCUCCAUAUCUUGUGGCCGAUUAUACGCCACUCAUCUCCAGUGAUUAGACCCAUUUUCCAUAGGUGUGUGUGUAUGUGUGUGGAAAAGGGCCAGAUCUCUGACCUGGACCCAUGAUUGCUCUUUCAAGGUCACAUCAUGGGUUGUGGCUCCCAAAGUUUUGGUCCCAUGGAAAGUGGUUGUGGGUGACAAAGUACAUGUGCUAUAGAGGCCAUAGGAUGAUACAGUAGCAAAAGCUUCUGUUUUCCCCCCGUGUGGACAGGAAAAGCCAGCUCCACUUUCUUGAGAAGAAAAAAGUUUGCAAGCCACACCUUUUGCUGCAAUGUUUAAGCAGCCAUUGACUCGAACCAUCGCAGCAGAUUUGGCCCGAUGUUUGUCAAACCUAGGGCGUGCUGCUGAUAGAUCCUCUCUAGUCUAGCUAGGUGCUUUGAGUGGCUCAAGGAUUUUGUCAUGUCGUCCCAGCAAGAAAUGCUUCUCUGGGUGCAGAGCGUGCGGUUAAUGCUGAAGAAACAGACAUGAUUAGAAGGGACAAGAUCAGACUUGGCAGUUUUAGUGGCGUAUGCUCCGGUAUACAGUUCAUCGUUAUUAGACAGUGUCAUCUGAAAAUGUAUGGUAUGGCUUGUAAUCCAGAGUAGAACCAAGAUCAUGUGGUGGAGCGGUUGCUUUUUCGAGCUUUGAAGAGACAGACAAAUGGAUAGCUCAUAGCUAGACACGGACCAGAUCGAGUUGCUUGGGACAGUACUGUACUGUUCCAUCUUAGCUAAGGGUUACUGGAAACCUAGUGGAGAGCGUUUGCUACAUCCGUUUAGCCAGAUGAAAGCAAAAUGCCACCAAAAACCAUUGAAGUGCCAUCCACCCGAUCCGGGCUUCGUUGUCAUAAAUUGUCAUGGGCUUCAUGAUGCAACGAACCACAUGUCACAUGCUUCUCCUACCACAAAAGUUUUUCUUUACUAGUAGUACGUUGACAGGGAAUGCUAGCACUUUCUUGCCAUACCGAUUGCUGUUUUGUUACAUGAAAAUGCAGUAUAUACAUUGAAGCAGGACCGUAGAAACAUAACAGUCCAAGGUCUGGAUUUGAGCAAAUCUAGGCUGAACAUGUCUUGGAACAAUUACAGAUUGCAGCAUUUUGGGGAUCCAAAACGUGUUGCUGUAGAAUGUGAGCAGGAGAGCAGGUUUUUUAUAUCGACCUGUGGCUUGUCGUUUUGCCGAUUCCUUCGGUAGGCGCGCGCUUCAUAGAGAUUCGCGAGUUCAAUCAAAUCAAGUGAGAAGUGGUGUAGUUUUUUUUUUAACAAGGAAACAAAACAACGAACAGGUAUACCAGCUCUGAACCACCACCCCACACAUGCUCUGCAUUCUCUCCGCCACAAGACAAAUCCGAAGGCAAGAACAGCUAUAGGGGCUGAUGAAUAAGGCAUCUAACAAGGAGGAUUACAUUUUUUUUAAAAAAACUCCAUUCAGGUGUCGCGAUGCAACUGCUUUGCCGCACAAGAAACAAAGACAGACGCACAUGUGAGAGAAGUAAAGCGCAGAUGGAUGAAGGGAACAUCACGAAUGAAACAGAUGAACAAGGACAGAUGCAGAAACUUUGUCAAGAACUUCUGGGUUCGACGCAGACGACACCUGUAACUGUAAGUAGAUGGAUGGAUACCUUUUUCAUGUACAAGCCACUGCCAAAACAUGACCCUUACACUGCAUAGAAUUUCCCCGGAUGUAGUUUCGACCAGUAGUAAGGGUAAGGCACAUGGGCCAAAACCUAAGCUGGGAGACAGAGGGACUGGACAAGCAUUCAGCCUUGUCUCUGAACUAUCGGCCCAUGAACACACUGCUCUUUCCCUUAACUAAACUGAAGUCACUGAUCACUGACCUGACCUCGUCCGCGGCCCGUGGGUCCGGACCACCGAACAUCCAAUGCUCGUGCCGGGCUCCGUAGUGUCCUGCACCGGACUACUGCUCUCCAAUCUCCAACCAACCUAUGCUAGCCUCUCUGUUCUCGAAUCUCCAACGGAUCGAGUCACGGAGCGGGGAUCGUUUUGACAGUUUUGAGGUUGACAGGAGGUGAGGCCCCUAGAAAACGCGAGUUAGUGAGAUCGAUGCAUGGAUUGUGGUCCACGACUUUAAUGAACAGGUAACAUCAACUCGUGUAGAUGUAGCCACAAGUCUUGGUCCCUCGGCUCUAGAUAUACUCUCAUCGCUGAUGUUAUGAAAUCCAGUUUUUCUUUUUGUAACGCACGUAUAGUUUUGUCGGCGUUUCGAGACCGGGGGUCCCCGAGCCGACGAGUGAGUGUGCUGCGUGCCCCAGCCCAGAUGGGUCGAGCGCGUGGGCGAGCGCGAAGGGGGAAGAGGCGAGGUGGCCGGAGACGGGCGUGAGAGAGGUGGAGAUCCCGCGGCCUUCGUGUUCGUCCCGCGCCCAGGUCGGGUGCGCUUGCAGUAGGGGGGUUACAAGCGUCCACGCGGGUGAGGGAAGCGAGCGGCCCCAAGAGAGCGUCUGUCUCGUCCUCGUCCCCGCGCGGCCAACCCUUUCUAAGAAGGCCCUGGUCCUUCCUUUUAUAGUCGUAAGGAGAGGAUCCAGGUGUACAAUGGGGGUGUAGCAGAGUGCUACGUGUCUAGCGGAGAGAGAGCUAGCGCCCUAGGUACAUGCCAAUGUGGCAGCCGGAGAGGUCUUGGCACCUUGCUGGCGUGAUGUCGUGGCUGUCGGAGGAGCGACGGAGCCUGGCGGAGGGACAGCUGUUGGAGCGGUCGAGUCCUUGCUGACGUCGCCCUGCUUCCGUAAGAGAGCUGAGAGCCGCCGUCGUCACAGAGCUUGUGGGGCGCCAUCAUUGUCCAUCUGGCGGAGCUGGCCAGAUGGGACGCCGGUCUUGUUCUCCGUGACCCGAGUCGGCUCGGGGUAGGAUGAUGAUGGCGCUUCUUGUUGACGUGGCGGGCCUGUGCCCUAGGUCGGGCGACGUGGGGGCUCCUCCGAAGCCGAGGUUGAGUCUGUCUUCUGUUGCCGAGGCCGAGUCCGAGCCAUCGGGUCGGGCGAGGCGGAGGUCGUUCGGCCGAGGCCAGGGCGGAGUCCGAGCCCUGGGUCGGGCGAGGCGGAGUUUCGUCGUCUUCUGGGGCUGAGCCCGAGUCCGAGCCAUCGGGUCGGGCGAGGCGGAGGUCGUUCGGCCGAGGCCAGGGUGGAGUCCGAGCCCUGGGUCGGGCGAGGCGGAGUUUCGCCGUCUUCUGGGGCUUAGCCCGAGUCCGAGCCCUGGGGUCGGGCGGAGCGGAGUUCACCGUCUUCCGGGUCUUAGCCCGAGUCCGAGCCCUGGGGUCGGGCGGAGCGGAGUUCGUCGUCUUCCGGGUCUUAGCCCGAGUCCGAGCCCUGGGGUCGGGCGGAGCGGAGUUCGCCGUCUUCCGGGUCUUAGCCCGAGUCCGAGCCCUGGGGUCGGGCGGAGCGGAGUUCGCCGUCUUCCGGGUCUUAGCCCGAGUCCGAGCCCUGGGGUCGGGCGGAGCGGAGUUCGCCGUCUUCCGGGUCUUAGCCCGAGUCCGAGCCCUGGGGUCGGGCGGAGCGGAGUUCGCUAUGGCGCCUUUGGCAAGGCCUGGCUGCCUGUCAGACUCACUCUGUCGAGUGGCACUGCAGUCGGAGUGGCGCAGGCGGCGCUGUCCUUCUGUCAGACUGGUCAGUAGAGCGGUGGAGUGACGGCGGUCACUUCGGCUCUGCCGGGGGGCGCGUGUCAGGAUAAAGGUGUCAGGCCACCUUUGCGUUAAAUGCUCCUGCAACCUAGUCAGUCGGCACGGCGAUUUAGUCAGGGUUGCUUCUAAGCGAAGCCAGGGCCUCGGGCGAGCCGGAGGUGUGUCCGCCGUUAAAAAGGGGGGCCUCGGGCGAGACGGAAGUCUCUCGAGGUCGGCUGCCCUUGGCCGAGGCUAGGCUCGGGCGAAGCGUGAUCGAGUCACUCGUGUGGACUGAUCCCUGACUUAAUCGUACCCAUCAGGCCUUUGCAGCUUUAUGCUGAUGGGGGUUACCAGCUGAGAAUUAGGCGUCUUGAGGGUACCCCUAAUUAUGGUCCCCGACAGUAGCCCCCGAGCCUCGAAGGGAGUGUUAGCACUCGCUUGGAGGCUUUCGUCGCACUUUUUUGCAAGGGGACCAGCCUUUCUCGGUUGCAUUUUGUUCCGGUGGGUGCGCGCGAGCGCACCCGCCGGGUGUAGCCCCCGAGGCCUCGGAGGAGUGGUUACACUCAUUCGAGGUCUUAAUGCCUUGCGUAAUGCUUCGGCUGGUCUGGUCGUUCCCUCAUGCGAACUGGCCGUAGCCCGGGUGCACGGUCGGGGCCCAAGCUCUCGGGCUGGUAUGUUGACGCUGUCAACGGUUUGGCCGGAGCCGGGUUUGCGAGAGCAGCCCCCGAGCCUCUGCACAGGGCGAGAGGACGAUCAGGGACAGACUCGGCUUUUUUACAUACGCCCCUACGUCGCCUUUCCGCAAGGAGGAGGGGGGAGAGCGCCAUGUUACCCUCGAUGGGCACCGAACAUGGUGUCUCCGGUGAGCUGCAAGCGGGUAAUCCGAGUGGACGUCCGUGCCCCGUUCGUUGGGGGUCGGCUAGGGGCCCAGAGGCACGCCCAAAAGUACCUGCGGGUGAUUUGCCGGACCCGGUCCCCUGGCGACGGGGUCCGAGGGCUCGAUGCCUCCCUCCGAUGGGAUUCCGUUACAAGAUCGUUCCCGCUGGUCUCGGAAAUGUCCUAGGGUACCUCGGGAGCGCAGCCCGAGCCUCGGUUAUGUAUCGAACGUACCCCUGGUCAUCCCUCGCUCGACGUCUGAGGCGACUGUGAACCCUUCGGGGGCCAGCCUUCGAACCCCUAAUCAGUAAUGGGCACGGAGCCCGAGGAGCCUGAGGCGGCCAUGGAGCCCUUCGGGGGGCUGGCCUUCGAACCCCUGACCAGUAGUGGGUGUCGGGCCCACGCGAUCUGAGGCGACUGUCGAAACCCCUCGGGGGGCCAGUCUUCGAACCUCUGAUCAGUAGGGGGGGCUCGGAGCCCGGUUCCUUCACAGAGAAGGAUCCUUUUCGGGGUAUCCCCCUUUCCCGGUCCCUGUUGCAAGAGAUAGAGAAAGAGGAAAAAAGGAAAAGUAUACGAAAUCGAACGACGUGGCGUACCUUUUUUGACGCGGUCAUUACGGCGAAGGCGAAGCGUCGUCCGCUUCUCCUGCCAGAGGCGCCGCCUGUCCCGCCGCGGAGUUAAUGCGACGGGGCGAGUGGUUGGCGGGGCGGCCGUUACGCGUGCGCGAGCCGUUCGAGGAACGGAUCACGGGUGCACCGUCUUCACGCCGUGGGAGGAGGCUCUCUCGCUGUCCCAGGAUGGGACGUGAACCUGGCUGACGACGUGACUGCUGCGCCCGCCCGCCUGCCACGCCAUUACUGCCGGCCCACUUUCAGCCGCUUUGACCAACGCGCCAGGCUGGCGCUGCUGGGUCGUGCGCUGGGUCGCCUCGAGUCGCAGCAUAGGCUCCGCAACCGAAGAGGUGCGACGAUGGCACAAGUGGCGGUGCGGUUGCUUGCAUGCAGCAACUGGCGCGCUGGUUGUGCGACGCGUGGGCCUGGGCCUCCAAGCCGGCGCGUCAGAAGUCGGAGAAGCGCGUCCACCUGGCGUGGUUGCAUGCCGCCUGCAUGGCUGCCCGCCCCUCCCGCCCGUUGGUCUGGGCGAAAGUGGGGAAUCGCCUGUAACCGCUGGGCGGUUGUGUGCACCGCGCGCGGCGGUUUGGCUUCUUCUGCUUCUGAGUCGGUUUGCAUGACAUGCGGGACCCAGCCCCCGCGCCGCAGGGGAGGGCCUUGGAGCGUGUUGGAGAAGACUCGGCCCGUGGCGUUUGGGGGCGCACGUAGGGAGAGUCGCCUUUAAAAGGAGGGCGACCCCUUUCGGAAGGCAACCAUGUCUUCUCCCUCCCUUAUGCGUCGCGUCUUUCCAUCUUCCAAGCCCCCGGAUGGGGGUACCCGCCGUCUUUCCGCCUCCUCGUCGGAGGAACGCAACUCCGUGGGAGCUGGUACCUUUCAGCCAUCGUUCGGCUUCAAGGAUUUUCAUCACACAGCCUGGUUGCUCCCCUCCGCCGGCGGUCACCCAAGACGGUGACCUCCAGCUCCUGGAUGGGGAGAGGCAAACCAGGCUGUGAUCCCGCCCCAGCAUCGGGGGUGUUCGUCAUCCUCGCUGGGGCGGGGCGCGAGGCGAGCCGGGGCUCUACCUCCUGCGCGGGUCGGCGGACCACCUCCUCUUCAAGCUUCUGGUGGUGGCAAUCGCCCUCCCGUGCUGCGACGGAGACGUCCUCCAGUCAUGCCGGGGAAGGCGAACUGUUGCUGCCCAGCUAGGAUGCAACAUUCCGUCCUUCCCCUCGCAUUCGCGGCGAGGACGACAGCGAGGAUCUGCCGGAGCGCUUGGGAGCGGCCUGCUCUUUGGCUUUGAUGGCCGGUUCGCGUCCCUUGAGCGGGACCGCGAACAAGAGCCCCCUGGUGGCCGCGUCCGCCCGGGACCAUGGCUGCUGCCGCAGAGGUCACUGGCGAGCCUCCCGAUGAUCGUCGCCCCGCAGGCCCGAGGCCGCUCGUACCCGCGGGGACGGAACCGGAGUUCCGUUUGUGAUGGCACCUUGAAUGCCAGUGUUUCUUGUUCAUUGUGGCUGUCGAGGCCUGAACAUGUAUGUAAUUUCGGCACGGAGCCGUGUUUUUUUCCUCAUUUUCGAGCACUAAGUCUCGCCUGUUGAUUAUUUGAACCGCUUCACCAAGCAUGAGUCGCCCCGUGUCAAGGUGACGAGUGAGGUAUCCGUAUCCCGGAGGCGUAGAAAACCCUCGGCUCGAUCGGCCUUGUUGUCUGAGGCUUCUCUAGCUUAGUUAAAGGGACCCCUUGGCCGCUCUUCGACGAGCCGAGGCCAGGGGUAGCGAUAUCAGUACAAACAGAGGCGGAGUUGGCUCGAAAAUGGGAACCUGGUUGGCCGGAGCCUGGUCGGGUUGCCCGUCAGCGUGGCCCGACGUCAGAGUCGAUGACCCGAGGCCUCGGGUCGGGCUGGCGCCCUUGGAAGAUGCUUGGUCGAGGCCCCAGGGGUAACCGGCCGAGCCGCCUGCUCGGGCCGGAUUCCCGGAGAAGUCCCCGGACCGCGUCGCCGUCCGAGGCUGGGUCGGACCUUGCUGAAGGCGUCGUCGAUGCCGAGGGUGGUGCGGCCCCCUUAAUUCGGCGUGAAGACCCGAGCCUGCAGGAUCAGAUUGUCUUGUAGCGUGUGCCUUUUGCGGCUGCCGAGGCCAGAAAACACACCCUCGCUUCGUUGUAAAGCCGUGUCUCCUUUUCCUCUUAUUUCGAGCAUCUGGACCUUCCGUCGGUAACAGGGAUGUUUGUGUGGGCGAGAGUUGCUUCUCGCGGAAGGUGACGAGUGAGGUAUCCGUAUCCCAGAGGCGUGGGAGUCCCUCGGCUCGGUCGGCCUUGCCGCUUACGCGUACUUUCGCCCGUCCAUGAGGCCCUGUCACCGAUUCAGUCGAGAAGGCUUGAAGGACCGUCUCGGCAGAAGAGCUUCCGAACGUGAAGACUUGUUCGGUCCGCGGAAUCACUUUAUCCGAACGCGAGUUACUUAUCACAGAAGGUGAUGAGUGAGGUAUCCGUAUCCCGGAGGCGUAGGAGUCCCUCGGCUUGGUCGGCCUUGGCUGCUUACGUGUACUCCGUCGUUUCCAGGAUCCGCUUUUCGAAGCAGUCGAAAAGCACGAAAGAAGUUCUGCUAAAAAGAGAUCCUUUUUCGAGGAAAAAUUCGACGCAGAGGGGGUCUCCCCCCUUUUAGCCCCCGAGGGAGGGUCGGGCUUUGCCGAGGCUAGGCCGACCCUUCCUUGACGACUAAACUUUGCGUAGGUGCGAGGUAUAUGAACAACUUGAAAACAUCUUAAGGGUAGAAGCGACGUAGCUGUUUGAUGUUCCAAGCGUUGCCGUAGAUCUCGCCUUGGUUGUUGGCCAGCUUGUAUGUUCCGGGCUUCAGAACUUUGGCGAUGACGAAUGGCCCCUCCCAGGGGGGCAUGAGUUUGUGCCUUCCCCGGGCGUCUUGCCGUAGCCGAAGCACCAGGUCGCCCACCUGGAAGUCUCGGGGUCGGACCCCUCGGGCGUGGUAGCGUCGCAGGGACUACUGGUACCGCGCCGAGUGUAGUAAGGCCCUGUCCCGAGCCUCCUCCAGCUGGUGCAGCGAGUCUUCUCGGCUAGCUUGGUUGCUUUGGUCGGCGUAGGCCCUCGUCCUAGGGGAGCCGUAUUCCAGGUCAGUGGGCAAGAUAGCUUCGGCCCCGUAGACCAGGAAAAACGGCGUGAAACCCGUGGCACGACUCGGUGUCAUCCUUAGGCUCCAGACCACCGAGGGGAGUUCCUUCAUCCAUCGCUUGCCGAACUUGUUGAGGUCGUUGUAGAUCCGAGGCUUGAGCCCUUGUAGAAUCAUGCCGUUGGCACGCUCUACUUGCCCAUUCGACAUGGGAUGAGCCACGGCGGCCCAGUCCACCCGGAUAUGGUGAUCCUCGCAAAAAUCCAAGAUUUUUUUGCCGGUGAACUGGGUACCGUUGUCGGUGAUGAUGGAGUUUGGGACCCCGAAGCGAUGGAUGAUGUUGGUGAAGAACGCCACCGCCUGCUCGAACCUGAUGCUGUUCAGGGGUCGGACCUCGAUCCACUUGGAGAAUUUAUCGAUGGCGACCAGCAGGUGCGUGUAGCCCCCGGGUGCCUUCUGCAAUGGACCGACGAGGUCCAGACCCCAUACAGCAAAGGGCCAGGUGAUGGGUAUCGUCUGCAGAGCCUGAGCGGGCAGGUGGGUCUGCUUCGCAUAGAAUUGGCACCCUUCGCAGGUGCGGACAAUUCGAGUGGCGUCAGCCACCGCCGUUGGCCGGUAGAAGCCUUGCCGGAAAGCAUUCCCGACAAGGGCUCGAGGCGCUGCAUGAUGGCCACAAGCCCCCGAGUGUAUUUCUCGCAGGAGUUCCUGACCUUCGGCGAUGGAGACGCAUCGCUGGAGGAUGCCCGGGGGGCUCCGGUGGUAGAGCUCCUCCUCGUCGCCCAGCAAGACGAACGACUUGGCGCGUCGUGCUACCCGCCGAGCCUCGGCUUGGUCGAGGGGUAGCUCUCCCUGGCGGAGAUAUCGCAGGUACGGGGCCUGCCAAUUUCGAUCAGGCGUGGCCCCGCUCUGCUCCUCCUCGAUGUUCAGUACCUCGGCCUCGGGGGCCGAGGGUACCUCGGGCUGAGCCGAGGGUGCCUCGGGCUAAGCCGAGGGUACCUCGGGCUGAGCCGAGGGUGCCUCGGGCUGAGACGAGGGUGCCUCGGGCCGAGCCGAGGGCGCCUCGGCCUGAGCCGAGGGCGCCUCGGCCUGAGCCGAGGGCGCCUCGGCCUGAGCCGAGGGUGCCUCGGGCUCGGGCGCGUCGUCGAUCUUGACAGAGGGUCGAUGCAGAUCCCGGGAGAAGACGUCCGGGGGGACCGUCGUUCGCCCCGAGGCUAUUUUAGCCAGCUCGUCUGCGGUUUCGUUGUAGCGCCGAGCGAUGUGGUUGAGCUCGAGCCCGAAGAACUUGUCUUCCAGGCGCCGAACCUCAUCGCAGUAGGCCUCCAUCUUCGGGUCGCGACAGUGGGAGUUCUUCAUGACUUGGUCGAUGACGAGCUGCGAAUCACCGCGGGCAUCGAGGCGUCUGACCCCUAGCUCGAUGGCGAUCCGCAACCCGUUGACCAGAGCUUCGUACUCGGCCACAUUGUUGGACGCCGGGAAAUGGAGGCGCAUCACGUAGCGCAGGUGCUUUCCAAGGGGCGAGAUGAAGAGCAGGCCCGCGCCGGCUCCUGUCUUCAUCAGCGACCCGUCGAAAAACAUGGUCCAGAGCUCCGGUUGGAUCGGAGCUGUCGGCAGCUGGGUGUCGACCCACUCGGCCACGAAGUCUGCCAACACCUGGGACUUGAUGGCUUUCCGAGGGGCGAACGAGAUCGUUUCGCCCAUGAUUUCCACCGCCCACUUUGCGAUCCUGCCCGAGGCCUCUCGGCACUGGAUGAUCUCCCCCAGGGGGAAGGAUGACACCACAGUUACCGGAUGAGACUCGAAGUAAUGUCGUAACUUCCGCCUCGUCAGGAUCACAGCAUACAGCAGCUUCUGAACUUGUGGGUAGCGGAUCUUGGUCUCGGAUAGUACCUCGCUGACGAAGUAGACUGGCCUCUGAACGGGCAGUGCAUGCCCCUCCUCUUGCCUCUCGACCACAAUCGCGGCGCUAACCACCUGGGUGGUGACAGCGACGUAGACCAAGAGGGCUUCUCCAUCAGCUGGGGGCACCAAGACAGGUGCCUUCGUAAGGAGCGCCUUCAGGUUCUCGAGGGCUUCCUCGGCUUCAGGGGUCCAAGCGAAACACUCAGUCUUCCUUAAGAGGCGGUACAGAGGCAGACCUCUUUCGCCGAGGCGUGAGAUGAAGCGGCUCAGGGCCGCGAGGCAUCCCAUGACCCUCUGCACGCCCUUUAAGUCCUUGAUGGGUCCCAUGCUGGUGAUGGCUGCAAUCUUCUCCGGGUUGGCUUCGAUGCCUCGCUCGGAGACGAUGAACCCCAGGAGCAUGCCCCGGGGCACCCCGAAGACACACUUCUCAGGAUUGAGCUUGACUCCUUUCGCCUUGAGACAUCGGAAUGUCACUUCAAGGUCGGAGAGGAGGUCGGAAGCCUUUCUUGUCUUGACUACGAUGUCAUCGACGUAGGCCUCGACUGUGCGACCGAUGUGUUCGCCGAACACAUGGUUCAUGCACCGCUGGUACGUCGCGCCCGCAUUCCUCAAACCGAACGGCAUGGUGACAUAGCAGUACAUGCCGAACGGCGUGAUGAAAGAAGUCGCGAGCUGGUCGGACUCUUUCAUCCGGAUCUGGUGAUACCCUGAGUAGGCAUCGAGGAAGGACAGGGUUUCGCACCCAGCGGUGGAAUCCACGAUUUGAUCGAUGCGAGGCAGAGGGUAGGGAACCUUCGGACAUGCUUUGUUGAGACCAGUGUAGUCUACACACAUCCGCCAUUUCCCCCCUUUCUUCCUCACAAGCACAGGGUUGGCAAGCCAUUCGGGAUGGAAUACCUCUUUGAUGAACCCUGCUGCCAAUAGCUUGUGGAUCUCCUCGCCUAUCACUCUGCGCUUCUCCUCGUCGAAUCGGCGCAGAGGCUGCCUGACGGGUCGGGCUCCGGCCCGAAUAUCCAGCGAGUGCUCGGCGACAUCCCUCGGUAUGUCGGGCAUGUCCGAGGGACUCCACGCAAAGACGUCGGCGUUUGCGCGGAGAAAGUCGACGAGCACUGCUUCCUAUUUGGGGUCGAGCCCGGACCCAAUCCGGAUCUGCUUGGAGGUGUCCCCGCUGGGGUCAAGAGGGACAGCCUUAACCGUCUCCGCUGGAUCGAAGUUGCCGGUGUGACGCUUCACGUCUGGCACCUCCUUGGAGAGGUUCUCCAGGUCGGCGAUGAGGGCCUCGGACUCGGCGAGGGCCUCGGCGUACUCCACGCACUCCACGUUGCAUUCGAACGCGUGUUUGUACGUGGGGCCGACGGUGAUGACCCCGUUGGGGCCCGGCAUCUUGAGCUUCAAGUAGGUGUAGUUGGGGACGGCCAUGAACUUCGCGUAGCAUGGCCUCCCCAGUACAGCGUGGUAGGUUCCUCGGAACCCAAUCACCUCGAACGUCAGGGUCUCCCUUCGGAAGUUGGAGGGCGUUCCGAAGCAGACGGGGAGGUCGAGUCGCCCGAGGGGCUCGACGCGCUUCCCAGGGACGAUCCCGUGGAAGGGCGCAGCGCCUGCCCGGACGGAGGAUAGAUCGACGCGUAGGAGCUUGAGGGUCUCGGCGUAGAUGAUGUUGAGGCAGCUGCCCCCAUCCAUCAGGACCUUGGUGAGCCUGACGUUGCCGAUGACGGGGUCGACGACGAGCGGGUAUUUCCCCGGGCUCGGCACAUGGUCGGGGUGGUCAACCUGGUCGAAGGUGACGGGCUUGUCGGACCAGUCUAGGUAGACUGGCGCCGCCACCUUCACCGAGCAGACCUCCCGACGCUCUUGCUUGCGAUGCCGAGCCGAGGCAUUCGCCGCAUGCCCUCCAUAGAUCAUGAAGCAGUCGCGGACCUCGGGGAACUCUCCUGCUUGGCGAUCCUCGUUCUUGUCGUCGUCGCGGGCCCUGCCACCCUCGGCGGGUGGCCCGGCCCUGUGGAAAUGACGCCGAAGCAUGAUGCACUCCUCGAGGGUGUGCUUGACGGGCCCCUGAUGGUAGGGGCACGGCUCCUUGAGCAUCUUGUCGAAGAGGUUAGCACCUCCGGGGGGCUUCCGAGGGUUCUUGUACUCGGCGGCGGCGACAAGGUCCGCGUCAGCGGCGUCGCGUUUCGAUUGCGACUUCUUCUUGCCUUUCUUCUUGGCGCCGCGCGGAGUAGACGCCUCGGGAGCCUCUUCCGACGGGCGGCCCUGGGGCUGCUUGUCCUUUCGGAAGAUAGCCUCGACUGCCUCCUGGCCAGAGGCGAACUUGGUGGCGAUGUCCAUCAGCUCGCUCGCCCUGGUGGGGGUCUUGCGACCCAGCUUGCUCACCAGGUCGCGGCAAGUGGUGCCGGCGAGGAACGCGCCGAUGACAUCCGAGUCGGUGAUGUUGGGCAGCUCGGUGCGCUGCUUCGAGAAUCGCCGGAUGUAGUCCCGGAGAGACUCUCCCGGCUGUUGCCGGCAGCUUCGAAGGUCCCAGGAAUUCCCGGGGCGCACGUAUGUGCCUUGGAAAUUGCCGGCGAAGGCUUGGACCAAGUCGUCCCAGUUGGAGAUCUGCCCCGGAGGCAGGUGCUCCAACCAGGCGCGAGCAGUGUCGGAGAGGAACAGGGGGAGGUUACGGAUGAUGAGGUUGUCGUCGUCCGUCCCACCUAGUUGGCAGGCCAGGCGGUAGUCCACGAGCCACAGUUCCGGUCUCGUUUCCCCCGAGUACUUCGUGAUAGUAGUCGGGGGUCGGAACCGGGUCGGGAACGGCGCCCGUCGGAUGGCCCGACUGAAGGCCUGCGGACCGGGUGGUUCGGGCGAGGGACUCCGAUCCUCCCCGCUGUCGUAGCGUCCCCCACGCCUGGGGUGGUAGCCUCGGCGCACCCUUUCGUCGAGGUGGGCCCGACGGUCGCGUCGAUGGUGCUCGUUGCCGAGGUGGCCCGGGGCCGCAGGCGUGGUGUUACGCGUGCGUCCGGUGUAGACCGAGGCUUCCCGCAUGAAUUGGGAAGUCGCGGCAUGAGGUUCCGAGGGAUAUCCCUGCCUUCGGGAGGCAGUGCUCUCGGCCCGUCGGGCCGCAGCGCCUUCCAGAAGAUUCUUGAGCUCUCCCUGGAUUCGCUGACCCUCGGUGGUUGAUGGCCCCGACAUCGCGCGGAGGAGCAUCGCUGCGGCUGCCAGGUUCUGACCAACCCCGCUGGAUGCGGGCGGCGGCCUGACCCUGACAUCGUCGGCGACGCGGCGCUGGAGACCUUGGGGCAGGUGACGUAUUUCUCCGGCCGGGGGUUGGCCCGCCCAUGCCUGCCCGGCGUCCCGACGGAUCGGCUCAAGCGCUUCUGUUCCCUCGUUGAGCCUGGCCUGCGCCUCGCGGACUUGCUCGAGUUGUGGGUCGUAACCCCCCACCGGAACGGGGACCACAGCUAGCUCCCGCGGGAUGUCGGCGCGAGGCACCGACCUAGGAAGAUCACCGUCCUCCGGCAUGCCGAGAUGGUUGCCUUCGGAGGGAUCCCCUAGCUAGAUGUGGAAACAUUCGCGGCUUGGGCCGCAGCCCUCGUCGUCAAGGCUGCGGCUUCCGUCGGAACAGUCGGAGAGGCAAUGGUCACAUGCGGUCAUGAAGUCCCGCAUGGCACCGGGGUUGCCAAGUCCAGAGAAAUCCCAACAGGUGCUGGGAUCGUCAUCUUCCUCGGACCCAGAGGGCCCGUAGGUUGAGACGUCCGUCAACCGGUCCCAAGGCGACCGCAUUCGAAACCCCAGUGGGGUUGCACUCGCCUCAAUGAGAGCGCCCGCCAAAGCGAGGUCGCUUGGCGGGUCGAGGCCGAGUCGAAACGACAUAAGAUGGGAGUUAGUCGGUACCUUUUGGUCGACGAGGAGCGACGUCCUGCAGGCUUUCCGCGAGCGCGCUGGCGUCGUCUUCUUGCUCGGGAUCAGUGUGUCGCGGGGGGACGUCGCCUGCCUCCGUCUCGAACGCGAGGUCGACGCCCGGCGUGCCUUCCGUCGGGGCGCUGGGGACGUCGAUUCGCUCGACAGCCGACAAAGCGCGGCCUCCCGCUUGGCCUUGGUUGCCUCGCCUCCUCCUCCGUUGGCGGGGGAGAGGACGGAGCGAGCUCGAAUGUUGUUCUUCCGCCACGCGGGGAAGAUGUCGCCGAUUCCGCCGCCGGCGGGCGGGUUGUCGGCCGCCAUAGUCGUUGUCGCACGGCGGAGGAAGGAGUAUCAUGUCGUAGGUGCCGUCGAAGGACAUGAACUCAAGGCUCCCGAAACGGAGCACCGUCCCGGGCCAGAGAGGUUGCUGGAGACUGCCCAUCUAGAGCUUGACGGGAAGCUGUUCGUCAGCACGCAGCAGGCCCCUACCUGGCGCGCCAACUGUCGGCGUUUCGAGACCGGGGGGUCCCCGAGCCGACGAGUGAGUGUGCUGCGUGCCCCAGCCCAGAUGGGUCGAGCGCGUGGGCGAGCGCGAAGGGGGGAAGAGGCGAGGUGGCCGGAGACGGGCGUGAGAGAGGUGGAGAUCCCGCGGCCUUCGUGUUCGUCCCGCGCCCAGGUCGGGUGCGCUUGCAGUAGGGGGGUUACAAGCGUCCACGCGGGUGAGGGAAGCGAGCGGCCCCAAGAGAGCGCCUGUCUCGUCCUCGUCCCCAUGCGGCCAACCCUUUCUAAGAAGGCCCUGGUCCUUCCUUUUAUAGUCGUAAGGAGAGGAUCCAGGUGUACAAUGGGGGGUGUAGCAGAGUGCUACGUGUCUAGCGGAGAGAGAGCUAGCGCCCUAGGUACAUGCCAAUGUGGCAGCCGGAGAGGUCUUGGCACCUUGCUGGCGUGAUGUCGUGGCUGUCGGAGGAGCGACGGAGCCUGGUGGAGGGACAGCUGUUGGAGCGGUCGAGUCCUUGCUGACGUCGCCCUGCUUCCGUAAGAGAGCUGAGAGCCGCCGUCGUCACAGAGCUUGUGGGGCGCCAUCAUUGUCCAUCUGGCGGAGCUGGCCAGAUGGGACGCCGGUCUUGUUCUCCGUGACCCGAGUCGGCUCGGGGUAGGAUGAUGAUGGCGCUUCUUGUUGACGUGGCGGGCAUGUGCCCUAGGUCGGGCGACGUGGGGGCUCCUCCGAAGCCGAGGUUGAGUCUGUCUUCUGUUGCCGAGGCCGAGUCCGAGCCAUCGGGUCGGGCGAGGCGGAGGUCGUUCGGCCGAGGCCAGGGCGGAGUCCGAGCCCUGGGUCGGGCGAGGCGGAGUUUCGUCGUCUUCUGGGGCUGAGCCCGAGUCCGAGCCAUCGGGUCGGGCGAGGCGGAGGUCGUUCGGCCGAGGCCAGGGUGGAGUCCGAGCCCUGGGUCGGGCGAGGCGGAGUUUCGCCGUCUUCUGGGGCUUAGCCCGAGUCCGAGCCCUGGGGUCGGGCGGAGCGGAGUUCGCCGUCUUCCGAGUCUUAGCCCGAGUCCGAGCCCUGGGGUCGGGCGGAGCGGAGUUCGCCGUCUUCCGGGUCUUAGCCCGAGUCCGAGCCCUGGGGUCGGGCGGAGCGGAGUUCGCCGUCUUCCGGGUCUUAGCCCGAGUCCGAGCCCUGGGGUCGGGCGGAGCGGAGUUCGCCGUCUUCCGGGUCUUAGCCCGAGUCCGAGCCCUGGGGUCGGGCGGAGCGGAGUUCGCUAUGGCGCCUUUGGCAAGGCCUGACUGCCUGUCAGACUCACUCUGUCGAGUGGCACUGCAGUCGGAGUGGCGCAGGCGGCGCUGUCCUUCUGUCAGACUGGUCAGUAGAGCGGUGGAGUGACGGCGGUCACUUCGGCUCUGCCGGGGGGCGCGUGUCAGGAUAAAGGUGUCAGGCCACCUUUGCGUUAAAUGCUCCUGCAACCUAGUCAGUCGGCACGGCGAUUUAGUCAGGGUUGCUUCUAAGCGAAGCCAGGGCCUCGGGCGAGCCGGAGGUGUGUCCGCCGUUAAAAAGGGGGGCCUCGGGCGAGACGGAAGUCUCUCGAGGUCGGCUGCCCUUGGCCGAGGCUAGGCUCGGGCGAAGCGUGAUCGAGUCACUCGUGUGGACUGAUCCCUGACUUAAUCGUACCCAUCAGGCCUUUGCAGCUUUAUGCUGAUUGGGGUUACCAGCUGAGAAUUAGGCGUCUUGAGGGUACCCCUAAUUAUGGUCCUCGACAAGUUUGGUAUGUUAUUUCUAUACUAAAUUAAACAUAUAAAAAAACUGGAAACAAAGUUUGCUGUGCGGCCGCGGUAGGAUACGAUUACGACGUGGUAACGGUAGCCCGAACCUGAGCCGAUGUUCUCGGUUCCAUGAACCACUCGCAAGGCAACAAGCAACGAAACAAGCUAGCACUGUUGACGUGGCCGGUGACUGGGAUCAAACUAAAACUUUAUCUUAAUUUCCGUAUUUAGAAGACUAAAUAAACUUCAUGUUGAGAGCACUGCAGUCCUGUUGGUAUGGUAUGGUAUACUGCGAAUUUUCUGCAGCAACCACACACACGGAACUAGAGAUGUUAAUGGGUACCCGCUAUCCGAAACCCGAUAUAUUUUUUGCUCUAUUAGUAUAUGAGUUUGGGUUUGUUAAUGGGUUCAAAUAAAAACCCAACGGGUACAAGGGUAUGAGUUUGUUCUUUCACUACCCAUACACGCAAACCUAUAGGUUUUUUAAAAAUACCUUAAAAUCAACAUUCUUUAAAAAUAUGUCUCAUAUUAUUAUUAAUUCAAUAUGUUCUAAUUGAAUUAAACCUUAUGUAACAAAGUUUAAUCUAAAAUUAGUUACCACUUGGUCCUUUUAUCCUGGUUUAUUGAUGUAUUGACGGUCAUUUACAUGAUAAAUUAUUUUUUAUGUUGAUGUUACCUGUUGGGUACCUGAAAUCCGCAUGAGCAUGAGUUUGAGCAAAAUUUUACACCCGUCAUGGGUAUAUAUUUUUUUAGCAGGCUUAUUUUUUUUCGUGUGUAUGAGUUUAUGACGCAACGAGUUUUUACUCAUUGCUAUCUCUAGACAGAACUGUGGCCUGCAGCCUAAAAAAAGCAGUGCCACGUGAGGAAAACGUGACCUAUACAGAAAAACAUGAGUAGUAUCUUUUCAUUGUUAUGAUAUGAUACGAUUUUCAAAGCGCAAUCGCUAUAACAACCUUUUGCAUGUUGAGGAAUCCGGCGAUUUUUUAAAGGCGAAAAAUAUGCGGAUCUGGUGGGAGUCCAAAGAUACGAAAACGCCGUAGGAUGAUGCCCUGUGUGGCUGCGCCUAGAGAUUGUGAUCCGUCUCAUCCUCCAUGACCUUCCGGUGUGCCAAAGGCGAGCACAGCCAGGUAGCCGACUGAGAGGGUAUUUGGUUUAAUCUUUAGUCCUUAUACUUCCUUCAAUUUUUUUAUUUGAUGUUUGUUAGUGUAAAGUUUCACUGUUCAGCAUCAUAUAAAAGAAAAUGGGUAGCAUUUUAUUCUAUUUUAGUCUAUAAAUUAUGAAAUACAAAAACUAAUAGGAUGUUUUGUUUCAGUAAUGAGCUAGUCCGUCAUCUUCUCAUUUCUCUUUUUUUUUUGAUUGGUUUAUAGAAUAUAAUAAAUUGAUUCAUCAGCACCUCAUUCCUCAGUUAUUUAAUUAGUGCUAAUACAAGGAAUACUUUACUUUCAUUCGGUACCAAGUUAACUGACGGUACGGUACAUGUACCGCUGUAAACUAUGGCAAAGAGCCUAGCGGGCUGUAGCCUGUACGCGCGACAAGUGUAACCCCGCUGAUGGACAGGGCCGUUUGUUAAUCGAAGUUAACAAGUAUUCUACUCGUACGUUCUCGUAGCAAGGGCAAGUUAAAAGAUGGCAGAAGGAAUCCGCAUGUGGCUUUGCCAGUUGCGAUGAAAUAAAGAUGGGCCCAAGUCUGAAUUUCUGGACCAGUGUUCUGAAGAACAGAGAGCAAUAGGUGCCAGCCACUUGUUCAGACUUUAAAGCAGAAGAAGCAUCCAGCAUCAGUAGUAUACAAAAGAUCAUAGACUUAAGAGCAUACACAUAAGAGAGGAGACAUCUCUUCGAUGCCAAAUAACUUACAGAUCGGAGAAGACGACAUAUGGCGUGUGUUCUUCAACCAAAGCAUUGAAAAUCUUUAUACAUUAUACUUAACUUAGGACUAGUAAUGACGCAUACGAGUAUACUGUUUCUCACUACCUAAUCUCUAUGGCGUGCGCUACAAGAGGCACUUAAAACCUUCUAACCUGAAGCUACUGAUUACACGCGCGCCAACAGAAGCGCGAACUGAAAACCUGUGGCGCCAUAUAUAUAUAUAUAUAUAUAUAUAUAUAUAUAUAUAUAUAUAUAUAUAUAUAUAUAUAUAUAUAUAUAUAUAUAUAUAUAUAUAUAUAUAUAUAUAUAUAUAUAUAUAUAUAUAUAUAUAUAUAUAUAUAUAUAUAUAUAUAUAUAUAUAUAUAUAUAUAUAUAUAUAUAUACUUUACAUCUGCUCGAACGACGCCGACAGGUUGACGGCGAUGCUCGACAGGUUCGUGUCCCCCAGGCGCGACCUCGCAACCCUGUGUUGCUUGGGCGCGCCGGGGCCCUCGUCGUCGUCGUCGCCGCCGCCGGUUUCCUCGUCUCUAAAACCGGACUUCGCCGGCGGCGUCGAGAACUUGAAAUGCUGCUCCCUAGCAAGGAUGGUCUGCGAAGAAGGAAUCGAACAAUCAAAUGUCGGGCUUCGACACGAGUCAGGAGGAGGGAGGUAGUUUGGGUCAGAAGAUGAGAGUGCGUACCGCUUCUUUGACCGAUUUCGAUGUCAGGAGGAGGUUCCUCAGAUCACUGUGGUUCACCUUGCAAAAGAUCAUAACCUGCGAGAUUUUUUUUUUACCAAACUGAGAUAAGCAACACGCGCACGGCACAAGAGAACCCAAUUCUGAAUUGAAUCGCAAUACGCCGCAGUGACAGUCAGAUCAGAUCAUUUCUUUUUUUUCUUUUUUCUUUUCUUGGAAUCAUGGAAUGGGACGUUGGAACGGAGAGGAAGGAAUAGAUGGAACUGGGCCUAAGAAACAGAAGAUCCAACCAAGAGCAAUUACCAGUACAUCUAGCGACAGCUGGUUGAAGAGGUUGACGCCGUCGUCCUCCAUGUGGAACCGGACGCUGCGCUGCUUGCGCAGGGUGCGCGUCGGCGAGUGCGGGCUCCGGGAGCCCGGAGUCGGCGAGACGGCGACUCUCUUCCGCCCAAAAAUUAUUGCGCCGCUCCCGCAGUUUGAGCAGCUCAAGCUCCUGGCAAGGGAGCCCUUCUUCUCGUCGCCCUGUCCAAUUGCCAUUUCACCUGUUGCUCUCCGCUCUCCGCGUCUGGCGAUUCAAAAAAAAGGAUCACUUAUCCAGCCGGAAGUCGGAUUACCUGCAUGGGAUUGGAGAUAAGAGUCAGCACCCGGAAAAUCAAAACGAAAAGCGAAAGGAUAGGCGGAGGCAAACAGAGCCAGCGGCGAAAGCGAAACAUGCCGAUGCAGAAACCGCAACCGAGAAUCAGCAGCAAGAUGACGAAUCAUUCAGCUGUAAUCCAACCCCCAACACCUCUCAGCAAAGCAUCCCCAUCCAAAAAAAGAAAACCCAGACAGGAAACGGAGAGCGAAACAGCACCAUGAACAAAGUUGGACGGGUAUACGAAGAAACGAACGCCAAAUCGAAACAGGGUUUGGAGAUCGGGAGAGGAGAACCUACCUAUUCUACCGCUCUCAACCCAAAACUCCGCCUCCUCCUCCUCCUCCUCUUCCUCUCGAUAGUGUUCAAACAAAACAACAACCUGCGAUGUUUCCCCCUGAUGCUAAGCAACCAAACCUGCGGCCAAUGCGGGAAGAAGACCCAAACUUUCGAGGUAAAAAAAAAUUGGAAAGAGCUGAACUCCUAUUCUCCGCUUUUAUAAUAACCUCCCUGUAUUUUUUGCUUCUCUGCUGCGCGGAACCUGCCUAGUAGACCCGCCUCCCCUUGCGCGGAGGGCCUUUCCAGAAAGUUACGGGAACCGCCAGAAUCCAAGGCGGGUUCGUGCACGGGAUAUGUUUCACCUCCCGUGCCCCACGCGGCUUUGACGCUGCGACGGUUGGCUGAGAUGCGGGACCGCGAGUGCUUGAACCCAGCUGUCGGUGUCCGCGGGUCUGUGAGGAGAUCGUGGUGUGCAGCCGGGUUUAAGGGAGUUAGUUUUUUGAAAUGGAAGCACCCAGCUCGUGCGCAGCAAGGAACUCGUGGGAUCGGACGGCGAGGGGAGCUGGGGGUGGAGGUACGUGGCACGAUCUCACGUGUCUGGAAACUAGCCGUUGGGGCGGGUGGUGGUCUGGUGGGCGUGGGACGUGGCCCGGCGGCUUGACCGGCGGAGAUUGGAGCGCCACGCAUAACAAAAAAAAAGGGAAAGAAAGAAAGAAACGACGCCCAUGCGAGUCGGUGGAGGUCGGUGUGUCGCGAGCCGCCUCGCCGCCCACCGGUCGGUUUCUCGCCGCGUGUAUUUCGUUGGACAAUCGGUCCCAUUGCAUGCGGUGCACCGUUAUUUCGGGACUGGUUUCUACUCUGGCGCUGGCGGCGGUAAAACGGCGAGCAAAGCGCAAACGCGGCGGCGUUUGAUUAGGGGGGCGCAAGUAGAGUGGAGUAUCCUCUGCGUCUCUCUGUCCACACCUCGUUUAGCUUUUGCAUGUUGGAUUAAUGAGGAGGAUGAGCAUGCAUCGUUUCUCGUUAUCCAUGUGUUUGACUUUGAUUUAACGAGGGCUUGAUGCAUUUAUAUCAAUUACUUCUGCCUGCAUAACAAAAUCCAGUUAUAUCAAAGCGAUUAUACUUUCGGAAAGAAACUCUUCAGGCCUUGUUCGUUUGUCCAGGAAUGGACCAGGAAUUAUUUCAGCUGAUCAAAACUUAUAUAAAUUAGAGAAACAAAUCGGCUAGGAAUUAUUCCGUGCCUCCGUUCCGGAUAAAACGAACGGCCCCUCAGUCUUCGUGCCUUCACGUUUUAGGCCAUGUUUGUUUCAUCUCUCCUGAUUAUAUAGUCCAGCUCAUAGAUUAUAUAACCGCCCACCAGCCUUAUUAAUUAUCACAAUCUAGAUAAAUGUUUGUUUGGGCUUUUUCAGCUUCUAGCCACCAAAAGCUGCUACAGAUCGUCAAACAGCCAGUUUUUCGGCCAGCUUUCAUAAGAAUCAAUUUGAUAAAAACCGUCUAAAAUCAACAUGAAUACAAAAUCGACCGAGUCGUCACGAUAGUAGGAAUCCAUCUAGAGAUGGCAAUGGGUAAAUACCCACCGGGUAUUACUACCCCAUACCCAUACCCACGACAAAAAAAUAACUCCAUCGGGUCACCCAUAUACACUUGUGGGUAUGGAUUUACCCCCAUACUCAUACCCAUGUGGGUAUGGGUCACCCAUCGGGUCACCCGUACCCAAAAAAUUAAAUAUAUAUCAAAAUAUUAUAUUAUACAAAUGUCAAAUAUAUCCAUCUAAAUAUCAUUACAAAAUUUCUAGCAUCAUUUAACCAUCCAUUCAACACACCAAAUAUAAUUGGAUAAAGUAGUAACACUAGUACAUUACUACAUAGCACAUUACAUUUUCCAUUACAUAGUCAUUAAAUUGUCGUUGAGCCUUCUAUGACAUUAUGGUCUAAAAGGUUGUUAAAUAGGUUGGGCUAAGUUUAUAUUGGGUAUUUUAUACCCACGGGUUAACGGGUAUAGGUGAAGGUGGAAAGUUCUAAUAUCCGUUUACGGUGAAGAUUUUUGCCCAUUAACAGACUCAUGGGUAGAAUAUUUAGCCCACAUAUAUACUCUAAUGGAGUAAAUACACAUCGGGUAUAGGGUCGCGGGUACCCAUUGCCAUCUCUAAAUCCGUCGUUUUCUAGAUCCUGAAUCAUUUAGAUCACUUUAUAUUUCUCAGCACGUAAUCUCCGUGAUACUUAAAUUCUCCUCGUAGCCAGAUACAGAAAAACUGGUAAAAAAUGCUAAACCAAACAGCCAAUUUAGGUCGUCGUUGGGCACUCACGUUGACACCGAGAUUUUUUUUUGGCACGUCGCAUUUUGGCCACGUCCGCGGUGGGAGUGGGAGAGUCAAUGACAGCCUGAGGAGUGACGACUGCGUCAAAUAAAAACUACUCCAGCAGGGGUGGUGUAUCGGGCCGUUCAGGCGUCUCGGUAGUGCGGUUCCGUUCGGUGCCGCGGUUGGCUUCGAGUCUUCGACCAAUGUUCCAUUGCGCACGGCACCGUGGUUCUAGGGCCGGCGCUGCCGCCCUGAGCAAGUGAGCAGCCCAAGAAGCAUCUCGGUGUUUUCCUCUCCCAACUUUUGGCAACGGGACGUGGGAGUGCGUGCACACAUAAUCACGAUGGCUACACGAAGCAGCCCGCGCGCCCGUGAUGUGGGACACGGCCUGGCUGCGAGCCUGCAAGGAAGGAUGUCGGGGGGCGUGGCGGCAGCUAUCUCUCUAGGAAUACCAAACUUAUACUAAAAACGUUAUAAGGCAACACAUACAAUAAGAUCAUAUGAUAUUUUAAAAAGCAAAAAUUAUAUAUGACACAAGGAUUUAAAGAUACAUCAUAUAUCAAAUAUAAAUAAGUAAAUAACAAGUUAAUUGUAUCACACAUAUAGUUCACAUAAUCAAAGAGCCAAAUUUCAGAAUUGAUGAAGUAUGGUAUUCGGAUUUUUUGGUAGUUUUGUUCGAUAUACUGUAAAAACCGAUUACGACUUCUUAGAUGUAAAAACUGAAAUCGAACCGAAAUACCAAAAAAUCAAAAUUUUGGUUCGGUUUUUUUUAUCUACGGUACAAAACGUGCCACGUCUAGCACCAAACCCUCCGCCUAGCGCCUAAUACAAGUCCAACAUCGACACCACCGCCUAUCGCCUAAUACGAGUCCAACACCGACAGAUCCUAUGCCACGCCACCAGAAGGUGACGCGCGUCAAGUUGGCAUUUCCGGACCCAACCCGAAGUACGCCAUGACUGCGGCGACAUCCGCCUCGGCAUCCAACCCGAAGCUCGGUCUGCUCUUCGCAAACCCAACUAGCAUAACACGAUGCAGGAAGAAUACGACGCGCUCUAGCGCCUUCCUCCAUGAACACAUAGGUCCUGUUUGUUUCAACUUUUUUCAGCUUCUCGCAACCAAAAAAUGUUGUAGACUACCAAACAUCCAUCUUUUCAGCCCGCUUCUAUGACAAACACUUUAGUCAAAACCGUCCAAAAUCAACAAGAAUACAGAAUCGUUGCGAUAGUAGAAAAUCGUCACUUUAUACAUCAUAAACCUUAUGGACUCUUAUAUUUUCUUCCACAUGUAAUCUACCUACUGCACGUUCAUUGUAUGGGCUCUGCCAAACACCAAUAGCGUGGUUCACCUGCUUCACCGAGCUCAUCAAGUCAUUGGGCACUCACGCUGACACAGUCUGACUCUUCAUUGUUCAUGCUUCGGACGUCAACAGACAUGGCGUGUCUCUUGCUCUACGUCGAUGACAUGAUUCUAACUGCUUCGACCCACCCACAACCUACUGCAGUAGCACAUCGUCAACCAGUUAAAAGAUGAGUUCGUGCAAAAAAAAAGGGCCAUGGCAUUGUGUCCUACUUCCUUGGCAUUGACGUCCAACGCACGAGCGAAGGUUUCUUCCUCUCCCAAUGUCAAGGAUCAUGGUUUGGUAUGGGCCUUGGGUCUUGGCCUGGUUGAGUAGUGCUUAGAGCACUAGAUGUGCUACAAGAGGCAGAAGCAACAGUGGGGAAGGCCAUCGAAAGAUUCAGAAGAAACACAUCAGUUCCUCUCCAAGUCUCCAUAUGUAGGACUCGGUCUCUCAUCCUUCCAUGUUCUAGGCUCCACUCCUCCGUAUUGAUUACUUUGUUGGCUUCAAUCCUCCCUUCCCUAAGGUCUUGUACUCUGAUUUAUAUUUGAAUCGAGCUAUUCUCUAAG
rnacentral:lncRNA from 1 species